rnacentral:lncRNA from 1 species
UCAACUUCAAGGUGGGAAGCGAACAAUCAUUUCUAAGAAAAAUUUUGCAAAACUUUUAUGCCUUCCAACUCAAGGACCGUAUGUUACUCCAACAAGUGAAGAUCUCAUUGAUAUGUUCAAUUCUAUGGGUCAUGAACCUUAUAUGAAGAAGCUGUCUGAAUUCAAAAAGAGCAAACUUCCUGCUGUUUGGAGUCUGCUAUUUGGAUUCAUUCUUCGUGGCUUAACAAGUCGUGCUUGUGGAUUGGAUGCUGCACGCAGAGAGGUAUUGUCUCUUAUGUAUGGGUUGUAUAAAGGUGUGAAUGUUGAUUUUGCUACGGUGCUUUGGGGUGACUUUGUUGAUAGCAUCAAACAUUCAAAAAGGGAAACUGAACUUUCUGCACAUAGAUUUUGGGGUUUAAUAGUUUCUCAGGCUUAUGAAUUUCACAAAAUUCCAAUUGAAGAGUCUGAAAUUCCGAAGAUGGUGAUUCAUCAAAUUAGUAUUCCGACCAAAGUUAAUCAGUCUCAUUUCUCUUUUGUUGGUCAGAUUCCUGAAGAAAUGUUGAGUUUGAUUAAAUGUCCAAGUAAGAUUUUGGAUCAAUACAGGGCUUCUCUUAUCAUUCCUUACCCUGUUCGACCAGCACCUAAAGAAGGAGAAGAUGUUAAACUUACAAAAAUGAUUAGGAAGAAAAGAAAAACUCCACUUGUUAGGAGUAAACUUGGUUCGACAAAUGUUAAAACUGAAUUUAAGAAAAAGUCAAAGCGAGUCAAGAAACCAAGGAUUGUUGAAGAACCAGUUGCUGAAGAAGAGGACACGCAACGACAUCAGGGUGGUUCGAAUUUUGAAGAAGAUGUUUCUAUAACCACAGCUCUAACAAUUGUCACUUCUUUAGCGGAGACAAUUCUGAUGUCUGCUGCUACAACUCCAGUCGAAACUACAUUGGUUGAGACAGUACCCAUUUCAGAACCUGUUGUCGAAAACUCUAUUUCUGAACCAAUGUCUAUCUUUGAACAUUUGACCACUUCUGAAACUCAUAUUUCUACUUUAGAUCAUUCGGAAGCUACAAUUUUUGAAAGACCUUUAAAGAAUACAUUAGGGAACGUUUCUAUAGACGAAGAAGAAGAAGUGAUUGAUGGAUUUGUGUUUAAGGCCGUGGAAGAUCGUUUUUUUGAUGAUGUUGUCGAUGAUUUUGAGAUGGCUGCUCUUGGUGAAGACUUUGUUGCUUCUGAUGAAGAGGAUGACGAAGAUGAUAAUCAAUUGAUGUCUAAAAGAGAUUUUAAGAAGUUGAAUCGUAAGCUUAAUGUUGUAUUACGAUCUCUUGAUUCCAAUACUCAGUCUGCCCAACAUUUUAAUCAAGAAAAAAUGCUUGUUGAUUGGUCGGUCAUGCUUUCUGAUCAAAACAAAAAGAUUGAUUCAUUAACAAAUGGUUUUGGUCUUUUUAAAGAUCACAUAAAUAUUGAAACCAAGUCCCAAAUGACGAAGGUACAAGAAGUUAUGUUUAAUGAGUGCAAAAAGCUUCUUGAUGAAAUCUCGAAGACGAGAGAAGAGAAUGAGAAGUCUUUAAACAAGGCAUUUAGUGAUCUCAAAAGUCAACUCAAAAGUCUAUAUGAAUCUCUUACUGAAGCGAAACAAAGAGAAAUUACUUUACAAAAUGAGUUGACGAAAGCGUUAGCCCAUAUCGAGUUUCUUCGUUCUUACACGAAUGUUGUUAAUCCAGAAGAACUUGCAAAGCAGGUUGAGACUCAAAUGGUUGCAUCUCAUCUCAAGUCUCUACAACCUGUUAUCGAAACAUACCCAAACAGUGUUCCGAAGGUAUCUUUGUCACCUUCUAAACAAGGGGGAGGAGAAAGUCAGCAAUUCAAUAUCAUGACUCCAGAGAUCAUUCUUAUAUCAUCCGAAGGUACUUCUUCUGUUCCAUCUUCUGAAGCUACGUUUCUUGCAACCUUACCAUCUACCAUAUCAAACACUGUUGCAUUUCCUGUUUCUACUCAAUUCACAAAGAGUAUUCCUUUGCCAUUAUCAAAACCUCUUUCAAUUGGUUCCACUGCUGUUACUACAAUGCUUUUAUCAAGUUCUGAACCAAAUUCUUCAAAAGGAAAAGAAAAUAUGGAAGUGCUAAGUAAGGAAGAAUUGAGACAGAGAAAAACUGAGGAAAGAAACCGUUCCCAAUUGAAUUUUGAUGCAGAGUAUGUUAAAGGAGUUGCUGAAGAAGAAAAAAUGGAAGCUGAGAAUAGGGUAAACUUGAUAAGAAGUCUGGGAUUUUCUGAAAAUACUGUGUUUGACCUUGUUCCCAAAGAAAGCUGCUCAGUUAUCAAUUCUUUGGAAAAGCAAUUUGAUUUUCCUAUAUCUCCAAGGGCAUAUGGCUAUCCUAUAAUGAGUCCAAAGACUAAUGAAAAUAUUGGUGAUUUGUCAUAUAACGAAAGACUUGUUCGUUUCUAUGCUUUUGUUGGGAAACCUUCAAAAUAUUCCUGGAGUCCAAAGAUUAUCAGAAGUGUUGAGUCUGUCAUAGAAACAGAAAGUUUUGAAAAUGUGUUUCAGAAUUUCAAGUUUGUUGUUCGGAGAGACAUUAUGGAUGAUAUUACUUUCACGAUUGCCGAUUUCCCAAAUUUGAAUCCACAUGAUUUAAUUGUUUUAUUGAAGCUCUUAAAAGACCCAAAUUCUGUUGCGAUGCACUCUAUCAAGACUUUUCUCUGUUACUAUUACAGAGACGUAGCUCGAACUGAUAUAGUCUUGGCUGGAGCUAUAAAUCAGAAAGUAAAGUUACCAAAUAAAGAGGCUGAAGGAAUUGAUAAUAUUGGUGCUGGAGAAAUUGUUACAAAACCAACAUGGGGUUCGACUUAUUCAGUUAAGGUAGCAGGUGGUAGAUCAAAGAAAGUAUUCUUCAGGAUGAAUGAGAAAGAGAGGUUCCCUAAUAACGUGUUGGAGGGAAUAAUUCAAAGGAUUAUGUUGAAUUCUAAAAAUUCGGAAUCUGUUAGAAAGAAAGCUGUGGAUAUGCUAAGAUGGUGGUUGAAGAUCAGAGAAGUUUUGUUGGAAUUGGUUCCUGUUUUAUUCCCAGAUUUGAUGAAAGAUUAAUAUCCGAAGUGACUGUCAUUGUUGAGUGUCGAAUUAGUUGUGGCAGUCAUGACUUCCAAAGUUUAGGACCUAACAUGAUAGGUGGCCCACGAACCCGGUCUCAAAUAGUGGUUUAACUUUACUCAGCAAAUCGCCCUGUCCACUGUUAGCAUCUUCUGUGAAAGAUAAAAAAUAAACAAACAAUGUUCCGUUAAGACUUUGGGUGCUUGAAAGUUGCAGAAUUGGGUAAAAUUAAAAUUUUCUGAUAAAAGUUUAAUAUUGUUCUUCAAGUUACCUGAACCAUCAUUUGUAAUGUAUAUGUGUAUGUGGGUGUGUUGAUCUAGCAAUAUUUUUAUAUACAUUAAUAUUGCCUGAUGAGCUACAUUGAGGAUUUCAUAAUCUUUAGGGCUUUAACAAUAGUACACAUAACUGAUAGUAAUUGCAAUUCUUGUUAAGAUUAGGGAAUUCAUUCAAGAACGUAUAUUGAGGAUUAAGGUUGCCUGAUUAGCUGCAUUGAGGAUUUCAUAAUCUGUUAAUAACCAUUUUUUCUGUUUUCUUUAUGCAGGGGAAAAGGUGACAAGUGUUAGUGACCAUGAUCCUGCUUUGCUAGAGUACUUUGAUUGCACCUAUUCUAGAGCAAUCAAAAUAAAUAAAUAAAUAAAUAAAUUAAAAAAUUAACUUUUGUUCCAUUAACAUCAGCCGCAGUCCAAGUCCAUAGUACAACCUGAUGUGUCUUGUUUGUACAACAUGUUAUGUACAUAUGUCCAACAUGGGAAAUGGUUGAGGCAAAAAGAUCUUCAAAAUUAAAUGAAUUAAAGGGUUUGGAAUUUCUUAUACAACAACUUGGACAUGUAAAUGGAAAUCAUAUUCCAUAUUUCCUGAUUGAGACUGGUUAUGUCUCUAAACAAGAAAUUGAAUCUUCUAUUUUUAAAGUAACUCAAUUAUUAAUGAAAGCUAAAGGAGAGCAAGAUGAAACUGAAGAGAUACAUGAUCCUUUUGCAACAGAAAAAUAUACCCUUACUGAUAUUUUAGACGAUAUGCUAACUCUAGACUCUAGAACAAGUAUUUUAUAUGUUGGAUUUUUCACCUCUAAAUGCACAAAAUAGCAAUUUACUUUCAUUGGUUUGUUUAUUAUAGAAUCCUACUUUCAUAUGUUCUUAUUACAACAUUGUAAUAAAAGACCUACAUGGUUAUAGCAAUGUCAUCCAAAUUAUAAAGAUUUUUUUUAUAAUUUUUGGUAGAUUUUAUAAAAGUAUAAUGUCAUAAAAAGAAAAAGAUCGAAACUGCAAUGCUAUAAUUAUGUACGAUUUUCAAAGUACUAUCCCUUAAUAAGACAUAAUUUGGCAGUGCAAUAACGUAAAUUGUAUAGAAGAAAAUGGAUAGUUGAUGCUAUAAUACACAUAUAAAUGAAAGUAUGUUGUUAUUUCUUGCAUUUAGCCCUAUAUGGGGAUCACAUGACGUGUGGAAAAUCCUAAGCAAAUUGCAAGACCAUCUAUCACUAAUUCAAAGUUUUUGAUUGUACUUAAUAGCUGAAAGCAUCAACAUCAAAAGCUAUGAAAUAAGGAUGGUUAAAAUAUGGUAAAAUGAUGACAAAAACAAACAAUUAUUAUAUAUAAUAAAAACCAUCCCUCUUAUGAAUAAUAUAGUUGUGUUUUCAUAAUUUCGCUACAAAAGUUUCUUAUUUCACACUUUGGCAACAAAUCUAUUUUCUUAUUUUAUAUUUUGGCCACAAAAGUUUAUUAUGUUGGCAUAUUUGGUCCCUAGACUUUCAUAUAUUGGCAAUAUUCUUCCCCUUAUUUUGUAGAAUGACACUUUCCACCCCAUUCUUUAUAGAAUGGCACUUUCCACCCAUUUAUUUUGUAAAAUGUCAAUUUUACCCCCCUCAAAUGUGAACAGCGACAACGUCCACCCUACCACUUUUGUAUAUUGCCAUGUUUACAAGUUUGGUCUCUAGACUUUCAUAUGUUGGCAAGUUUGCCCCCCUCAAAAACCGUGCACACAAAACGAUAAUAGAAAUAUCACAUUCACAAAAGCAUAUCCAGUAAAAAUGCUGGUUCAAGUAGUUUGAAGAACAAUAUCAAUUUUUUAUCAAAACAUGUCUAUUUUACCAAUAUAAGAUGUGCCAUUGUCGAUGACGAUGGGGCAACUUGUAGGUAUAAGAUUGUAAUCUGAUUGCUUUGCGUUUGUGAUAUGACUGAUAUUUGCUCUGAUCACCAAAAAAAAAUUAAUGACAAUGCAGAAGGAGAAUGCGGGCCCUAACUUCUCCCACUGGGAUACUCAAGCGCUUAAAGUCCUAAAUGGUCAUUCUUGUUCAUCUUUUAUCUUUCACAGAAAAAGCUAACUGUGGGCCACCUAACAUAUUAGCCACUAUUUAAGACCUGGUUCUUUUAGUUUGUGGCCCACCUAACAUGUUAGACCAAUAGGUUCAAAACUUCGAAAGUCAUGAUUGUCACCAAUCUCACCCAUUGUGGCCAUACACUUCAAACAUUAACCUUUCUUAAUUUCUGGGAAUAAAAUAGGAACAGAUUCCAACAAAACUUCUCUGAUAUUCAACCACCAGCUUAGCACUUCGAACAUUAAUCUUUCUUAAUUUCUGGGAAUGAAAUAGGAAUCGAUUCCAAAAAAAACUUAUUUGAUAUUCAACCAGCACCUUAGCACUUCGAACAUUAAUCUUUCUUAAUUUCUGGGAAUAAAAUAGGAACCGAUUCCAACACAACUUCUCUGAUAUUCAACCACCACCUUAGCAUAUCUACAACUUUCUUUCUCAUAGAUUCGAAAUUCUUAGAAUUCAACAUAAUCCUUGGAACCAUUCCCUCCAACACAUUAUUAAGGAAUCUCUCUUUCUUAUUCAUCCCGAAGGAUACUUUCUUUGGUCUACCACUUGCUACGCUACCUAAAUAAGUCGAACCCCAUGUUGGUUCUGUAAUCAUUUCUCCAGCACCAAAACCAUCAAUUCCCUCAACAUCUCUAUUUGGUUAUUUUACUUUUGGAUUUAUAACUCCAUCCAAGACUAUAUCAGUUCGAGCUAUAUCUUUGUAAUAGUAACAGAGAAAAGUCUUGAUAGACUGCAUCACGAUAGAUUUUGCCUUCAAACCCCAAUCUUUUGAAAACUUCAGCAAAACAACUAAAUCAUGCGGAUACAGAUUUGGGAAAUCACCAAUUGAGAAAGCAAUAUCAUCCAUAAUGUCUCUCUGAACAACAAACUUGAAAUUCUGAAACACAUUUUCAAAACUUUUGGUCUUCAUGACAGACUCAAUCUUUUCGAUCAUCUUUGGACUCCAUGAACAUUUUUGACGGUUUCCCAGUAAGAGCAUAGAUACAAACAAGUCUUUUUGUUAUAUGUAAAAUCACCAAUAUUUUCAUUAAUCCUUGGAACCAUUAUAUGAUAGCCAUAUGAGCUUCGAGAUAUAGGAAACUCAAAUUGUUUUUCUAAAAAAUUGAUAAUUGAGCAGCUUUCUUUUGGAACAAGGUUAAACACACUAUUUUUAGAAAAUCCCAGACUUCUUAUCCCCGCUUCCACUUUUUCUUAUUCAGCAACUUUCUUAGUGUACUCUGCAUCAAAAUUCACUUGAUAACUACUUUCUUUUUUCUGUUUUAAUUCUUCCUUAGCACUUCCAUCGUUUCUUUUCCUUUUAAAGAACUUGGUUCAGAACUUGAUAAAGGCAUUGAAGUAACAACAAUUGAACUAAUUGAAAGAGGUUUUGAUAAUGGCAAAGGAAUACUCUUUGUGAAUUGGGUAGAAACAGGAAAUGCAACAAUGUUUGAUAUAGUAGAUGGUAAGGUUGCAAGAAAGGUAGAUUCAUAUGUCAAAGAUGUUGGUAAAAACAUCAAAGGUUGAACUGAAGAAAUACCUUCGGAUGAUAUAAGAAUGAUUUCUGGAAUCUUGAGAUUGAAAUCCUUUCUCCUUCUCCCCCUUGUUUCAAAUGUGACAAAGAUACCUUCAGAACACUCCUUGGGUAUGUUUUGAUAACAGGUUGUAGAGGCUUGAGAUGAGAUGCAACCAUCUUCAAAGUGAGAUUUAUGGCAUUAGCCAUUUGAGCCUCGACCUGCUUUGCAAGUUCUUCUAGAUGAACAACAUUAGAGUAAAAACGAAGAAACUCAAUACAGGCUAAAGUUUUCGUCAACUCAUUUUGUAAAGUAAUUUCUCUCGAUUUAGUAAUAGAUUUAUUUAGACUUUUGAGGGAAUUUUCAUGUUCACUUUUGAGCUCACCAAAUGCCCUGUUUAAAGAUUUCUUAUUCUUUUCUCUCAUCUUCGAGAUUUCAUCAAGAAGCUUGUUGCAUUCAUCAAAAAUAACUUCUUGUAUCUUCGUCAUUUGGGACUUGGUUUCAAUAUUUAUGUGAGCUUUAAAAAGGUCAAAACCAUUCUUUAAUAAAUCAAUAUUUUUGUUUUGAUCAGAAAGCAUGACUUACCAAAGAAAAAAACCAAAUAGAAGACUCCAAACAAGCAAGAAAUCUGUUCUUUUUGAAAUCAGACACCCUCUUCAUGUAAGGUCAUGAUCCAUAGUAUUGGACAUAUCAUUGAGCUCUUGACUUGUAGGAAUAACAUACGUUCCUUGAGUUGGAAGACAUAAAAUCUUUGCAACAUAUGUGCUUUCCACCUUGAAGUUCAAAUAAAACCCUAUCAUUCAUUUUGUUGACAAUUGCUGUAGUGAAUGCUAGAGUGACGAUUCUCAUUGGAACCUCUUUAGUUGUUGACAAAGCUCUAUUUAGAAAAGAACAUUUCAUACAUUCCACCAUAAUCUGAAGAGAUUUAGGAUAUUUGGAUGGAUUCAAAAUGGCUUGACAAUUGCUUGACUAAGAAGUAAAGGUCGACAUUGAAGACUCUUCUUCAAAAGAAACAUGAUCAGAAACUGCAGUCAUUGUUUGGAAAUAGCAAAUAAAAUUUAGAAACUAGGGUUAUUGAAUUGCUUAAGAUAGUAGGGAGAAAAGUAAAAUAAUCUAAUAUUUCCAAAAAUUCUACAUAAUUCAAUAGGCUAACAAACUGCAUUUGACUUUUCAAAGUCAUACCAUAUGUGUCUUUGUUCAUCCUUCUUUCACAGAGGAAUUGUGAGCAUAUUAAACCUACUUUUUGAGACCGGGAUUUUUAGUUUGUCGGGCACCUAACAUGUUAGCUCAAUAGGUCCAAAUAUUAACAUGGGAUCACUAUAUAAAUAAGAAGAUACAAAAGUUACUGAAAAAGAUGAGAUACUAAUAUGAAUCUUUUCUCUACAGAAACCUACAACAAGGUACUCUUUUUCACCAUUAUUUUUCUUUUUACCAUUUUUUGAUUUUAUUGAAGAUUGAUGAUGAGAUAAACAAGCAAAUACAUCAAACUCAUUUUUCUUUUUACCAUUUUUUAAUUUUGUUGAAUAUUGAUGAGUUACACAAGCAAAUACAUCAAACUCGAAGGAAGGAAAAAGAAGGAGAUACAUGCUUGAUGUGCAGAUGGUAGCGAUAGGAAGAACGGAAGAGAUGUAGAUUGCUUUUUCGGAUGGAACAAUCAAAUGAUGGGAAAAACGCACAUGGAAUAUCAAUGCUUGUAGAUUCCAACGGGUGAAGAAAAGGCAAAAGGUAAGUAAGAACAAUGAGCAUAUGCAAGAAAAAACAAGGAGGAGGUUAUGGAAGCAGACAAUAUGAUGGUUUAUGUUUACCUAUAUGGUCAAGAAUUAUUUUAGAAUAUAUUCAUACCAAUAAUACCAAUAACAAGUAAAUACAAAUUGAAUAUUUAUUAGAAUUUGAUUGUUGAUAAAUAUUUAUAUUUCUUGCAAUCAAAUGGAAAUUAAUAAUUUGUUAAAAUAAUAAAUUUUAAUAUUAAGUAUCAAAAUUGUAUCAUAAGAUAUGAUAAAUUCGUGUACAUCCUUUGGGUUAAAAGGGUUUUGUUCUUUAAAUAAAUGUACAUAAGUUUUUAUAAAAUAUAACAAGUUGAAAGAUCUUUAUAAAUCUUGUCUUCUUUCUUCUAAACCUAAGAAGGCUAUGAGAGGGGGCAAAAAAUAUUGCUAGUUGAUUGUUAUAAGAAGUUAGUUGUAUUUUAGAAGCAUGACAACUUACCAUCAUUAAGGAUAGAUGGUGUGUUAAACACAUUGGAUAAAGACUAAAAAGAAGCUUCAAGGCUUUCAACCUCCUCUACCAUUUGAUGAAAAAGUUAAAGACUAUAAUUUUAGGAUGUAUGUAACUAUAAUGGAAUAACAUACACCUAUAAUAACAUAAAAUUCAUUUGAAGGGUAUUUUAGUUAAUUAAUAUUAAGUAAUAUAAGGAAAAUUCUGGAUUUUAAGGGAUAAUUAAUCCUAUUAGUUUAAUUUUUUUAAAUAACUAGUUUCCAGAUUUUUGUUUGUUCCCAAAAAAAAAAUGAAACAAAAUUAAAAUUGCAAAUAUAUUUCAUUCUCAUUCAUUUAUCAUAUAUAUAUAUAUAUAUAUUCCUUUAAUUNUAUAUAUAUAUAUUGCAAAUUUAUCAUUCUCUUUAAUGUAACAUACAAGUACAAAAUUGAAAUUGUAUUGAGAAUAUAAAAAAUACAUGUGAAGAAUAUGUUAAAUUCUAACUAUUAUUAAAACAUUGAUAAUAAACAAAAAAAAGGUUUAUAUUACAUGUACAGAAGUUUACCUAUAAAAUAUAUAACUUAGAGCUUCUACCACCACCACCACCACCAAACAAUAAUAUAAGAAAAUAAUAAUAAAACAAAUUAUGAAUGAGGAUAGAGUAAAUGACCUGAAUAUUAGACUUUUUAACGGAUGGUUUUGGAUUUUGGAUGCUGAAUAAACUCUGAAUAAUAGUCUUUUUAAUGGAUGAUUUUGGAUCUUGGAUGAUGAAUGAACUCUGUUAUUCAGAAAUAUAAAUUUCAACACAAAAGAUUUUGAGAGUACAUAAGUCUUACACAUUCUAACUCUAAUUUAUUCAUUCGGGACAAAAGCCUUAUUUUUACAUGAUAGAAGACUCUUAUGGAUAGUCCAUGAUUACAAAACGAUUACCUAACAAUUAUUUUACAUGACUAGACUAUACCAGUAAUAUUCAUUCUAUAUUAUGAGAGAAGAUAUUACUACAAGACUUUAUUUUUCCAUUAUCUUAUAUUAUUAGAAACGACAUAAUUAUAUUAUUACAUUGGUAAUGCUUUAUUUGAUCAUUGCUUAUGCAAAUGCCUAGUAAAUUGAAUAUUUAUUUAUUAUUUCUUUGUUUGCUCUUCUUUUUAGUGAAAACUUUUUUUUUGCUUGUUUGUUGUUAUUCAUCCAUCACUGUUUACCGUAAGCUCCAUGUUUGGGUUAAUAGAUAGCCACAUCAACAUCUAAUAUGGAAACAUAAAGUGCCUUGUCAACAAUUUUUUUCUCACUUGGGGUCGACAACCGGUUACAAUAGGUAGAUUAUCCAAAUUAACCGGUAAAAAUCAAGCUUAUACUCUUAGAUGCAAAAAACACGAGACUUUAAAGAAAGUAAUAAUUGGUUAAACCAUAAUAAUACUAAUCCUACAAGUUAUAUUUUUUUUUUGUUUUGUGCGUGUUUGUGUUUUUUUUGGUUGGGCCAAGCUAACAUGUAGUCAACAAACUAAAAAAUCUGGUCUGUGACAUUGGGUUUUAUUAUGGUCAACAAACCGCUCGGUAAGUGUUGGCUUCUUCGAAAAGUGAACAGGAGUGUUCAGUUUGGCUUUUGUCGCUUCAAAGUUACAGUGGAAGAAUUAGGGCACGCUUUGCUCAGUCAAGUUUUCAAAAUCAUACUACAAUCUCAUACCUGCAAGCUGCCAAGUCUUCAUCGACAAUUGCAAUUUGUAACAGAAUUGGGUAAAAUUGAAAUUUUCGGGUAAGUUUGAUAUUCUACUUGAUCCAUUAUUUGUGAUUUAUAUGCGAUAUGCUAAUGUGAUGAUUGUGGAUAAGCAGAUAGAGUAAGCCAUGGAACAUUUUUCGUUGAAGUGCUUGUUCUCUUCACUACAUUUGACUCAUAUGCUAUGACUUUGAAAAGUCAAAUGCGCUUGUUCGCCUGUUGAACUUAUGGGGAUUUUUUGGAAAUAUUAGAUUAUUUUUACCAUUCCCAACUCUUUCAAGCAAAUCAAUAACCCUAGUUCAAGAUUUUCAUCUGCUAUUCCCAAAUAAUGACUGCAGUUUCUGAACGUGAAGAUUCUUCAAUGCCGACCCUUACUUCUCAGUCAAGCAAUUGUCAAGCCAUUUUGAAUCCAUACAAGUAUCCAAAAUAUCUUCAGAUUAUGGUGGAAUGUAUGAAAUGUUCUUUUCUAAAUAAAGCUUUGUCAACGGCUGAAGAGGUUCCAAGGAGAAUCGUCACUUUAGCAUUCACUACAGCAAUUGUCAACAAAGCGAACGAUACAGUUUCUUUUGAACUUCAAGGUGGGAAGCGAACAACAAUUUCUAAGACAGAUUUUGCAAAACUUUUAUGUCUUCCAACUGAAGGACCAUAUGUUACUCCAACAAGUGAAGAGCUCAUUGAUGUGUUCAAUUCUAUGGGUCAUGAACCUUAUAUGAAGAAGGUAUCUGACUUCAAAAAGAGCAGGCUUCCUGCUGUUUGGAGUCUGCUAUUUGGUUUCAUUCUUCGUGGCUUAACAAGUCGUACCGGUGGAUUGGAUGCUGGACCCAAAGAGUUAUUGUCUCUUAUGUAUGGGUUAUAUAAAGGUGUGAAUGUUGAUUUUGCUACUGUGCUUUGGAAUGAAUUUGUUGAUAGUAUCAAACAUUCAAAAAGGGCAACUGAACUUUCUGCACAUAGAUUUUGGGCCUUAAUAGUUUCUCAGGCUUAUGAAUUUCACAAAAUUCCAAUUGAUGAGUCUGAAGUUCCGAAGACGCUGAUUCAUCAAAUUAGUAUUCCAACCAAAGCUGAUCAGUCUCAUUCCUCUUUUGUUGGUCAAAUUCCUGAAGAAAUGUUAAGUUUGAUUAAAUGUCCAAGUAGGAUUUUGGAUCAAUACAGGGCUUCUCUUAUCAUUCCUUAUCCUGUUCGACCAACACCUCAACCACUACCUCAAGAAGAUGUUCAGAUUACAAGAGUUACAAGAAUGACUGCGCAGAAAAGAAAAACUCCAUUUGUUAAAGUUGAAGCUGUAAGAAAGUCAAAGCGAGUGAAGCAACCAAAGAUUGUUGAAGAAUCUGUUGUCGAAGAAGAGGAUGAGCAACAACAUCAUAGUGAUUCGAAUUUUGAAGAAGAUAUUCCUAUAACCACAACCCAGACAAUUGUCAAAACUUCUUUAGUGGAGACAAUUCCGAUAUCCGUUUCCACAACUCCAGACGAAACUACAUUGGUUGAGACAGUUCCCAUUUCAGAACCUGUUUUUGAAACUCAUAUUUCCAAACCAAUCUCUAUCCCUGAACCUCUAACCAUUUUUGAAGAAGAAGAAGAGGUUGAUAGAGUUGUGCUUAAGGCCGGGGAAGGUCCUUCUUUUGAUGAUGUUGUCGAUGAUUUUGAGAUGGCUGCACUUGGUGAAGGUUUAGUUGAUUCUGAUGAAGAGGAUGACGAAGAUAAUAAUCAGUCGAUGUCUAAAAGAGAUUUUAAGAAGUUGAAUCGUAAGCUUAAUGUUGUAUUACGGUCUCUUGAUUCCAAUACUCAAUCUGCCCAACAUUCGAAUCAAGAAAAAAUGUUUGCUGAUUGGUCGGUCAUGCUUUCUGAUCAAAACAAAAAGAUUGAUUCAUUAACGAGUGGUUUUGAUCUUUUUAAAGCCCACGUAAAUAUUGAAAUCAAUUCCCAAAUGACAAAGGUACAAGAAGUUAUGUUUAAUGAGUGCAAAAAGCUUCUUGAUGAAAUCUCGAAGAUGAGAGAAGAGAAUGAGGAGUCUUUAAACAUGGUAUUUGGUGAUCUCAAAAGUCAACAUGAAAAUUCUCUCAAAAGUCUAAAUGAAUCUCUUACGGAAGCGAAACAGAGAGAAAUUACUUUACAAAAUGAGUUGACAAAAGCGUUAGCCCACAUUGAGUUUCUUCGCUCUUACACAAGUGUUGUUAAUCCAAUUGUAUCUUUGUCACCUUUGAAACAAAGGGGUGAAGGAGAAAGUCAGGAAUUGAAUCUCAAGAUUCAAGACAUCAUUCUUACGUCAUCCAAAGGUACUUCUUCAUUUCAACCUUUGACAUCUGUUCCUGUUCCAUCUUCUGAAUAUGCCUUACCAUCUACCAUAUCAAACACUGUUGUAUUUCCUGUUUCUACCCAAUUCAUAAAGAGUAUUCCUUUCCCAUUAUCAAAAUCUCUUUUAAUUGGUUCAACUGCUGUUGCUACGAUGCCUUUAUUAGGUUCUGAACCAACUUCAAAAAGAAAAGAAAAGAUGGAAGUGCUAAGUAAGGAAGAAUUGAGACAGAGAAAAACUGAGGAAAGAAACCGUUCCCAAUUGAAUUUUGAUGCAGAGUACGUUAAAGGAGUUGCUGAAGAAGAAAAAAUGGAAGCUGAGAAUAGGGUAAAAUUGAUAAGAAGUCUGGGAUUUUCUGAAAAUAUUGUGUUUGACCUUGUUCCCAAAGAAAGCUACUCAGUCAUCAAUUCUUUGGAAAAGCAAUUUGAUUUUCCUAUAUCUCCAAGGGCAUAUGGCUAUCCUAUAAUGGGUCCAAAGACCAAUGAAAAAGUUGGUGAUUUGUCAUAUAACGAAAGACUUGUUCGUUUCUAUGCUUUUGUUGGGAAACCUUCAAAAUAUUCCUGGAGUCCAAAGAUGAUCAGAAGCGUUGAGUCUGUCAUGAAGACCGAAAGUUUUGAAAAGGUGUUUCAGAAUUUCAAGUUUGUUGUUCGGAGAGACAUUAUGGAUGAUAUUACUUUCACGAUUGCUGAUUUCCCAAAUCUGAAUCCACAUGAUUUAGUUGUUUUGCUGAAGCUUUCAAAAGAAUGGGGUUUGAAGCCAAAUUCUGUUGUGAUGCAGUCUAUCAAGGCUUUUCUCUGUUACUAUUAUAGAGACAUAGCUCGAACUGAUAUAGUCUUGGCUGGAGCUAUAAAUCAGAAAGUAAAGUUACCAAAUAAAGAUGCCGAAGGAAUUGAUAAUAUUGGUGGUGGAGAAAUGGUUACAGAACCAACAUGGGGUUCAACUUAUUCAGUUAGGGUAGCAGGUGGUAGAUCAAGGAAAGUAUUCUUCAGGAUGAAUGAGAAAGAGAGAUUCCCUAAUAAUGUGUUGGAGGGAAUGAUUCAAAGGAUUAUGUUGAAUUCUAAGAAUUCUGAACCUGAGAGAAAGAAAGCUGUGGAUAUGCUAAGGUGGUGGUUGAAGGUCAGAGAACUUUUGUUGGAAUUGGUUCCUGUUUUAUUCCCAGAAUUGAAGAAGGAUUAAUAUUCAAAGUGACAGGCCACAAAGGGGGAGAUUGUUUAGUGUCGAAGUAGUUGUUGCAGUAAUAACAGAUCCCAAAUACUCAGUUUGGAUUUUUCUGAUAAGUUUGAUAUUGUUCUUAAAGCUAAUUGAACUAUCAGUUGUACUUGUACUGUGUAUGCUAUGACUUUGAAAAAUCAAAUGCGUUUCUUUACCUGUUGAACUUAUGUGGAAUUUUUGGAAAUAUAUGCAGAGCUCUACCAAUGAUAGCAACUCAUAGUAGGUUAAAUGAUAGCAAUUCUUAUUAAGAUGCCUGCUGAAUUGGUUUAAGAAUGUAAAUGACAAUGUGGAAAAUUUCAUUGUUUAGGAGACAUUUUUCUGCUUUCCUAUGCAGGGAAACUGAAAAUUUCAGCUUUUGAUAAUGGAAUUUGAUCCCAGUUCAUCUUUAGUUAAACAUGAUAUAUAUGAUAAACCAGAAUUCCUCCGGAGACAUUUGCAUUGUAAAAUUGUUUUGUAAGAUUUCAAAUAAAUCAAAAAAUCUAAGAUUUUAAAUGAUUUGAAAGACAAAGAAGUUGAAAUAUCUCAUGUGUUUGUUUAUAAGACUUAAAAUGAUAUUGAAGGUUUUUUUUUUUUCAAAGAUUUUGAAAGAUGGUUACCAUAAACGAUAUAUGAAAACAGAGUAUAAAUUAUUUUUGAUGUUUGAUUUUGAUCGACUCAUAUUAAGUAUCCAAAAAUGCUAAUUAUUAUUAUUAUUAUUAUUAUUAUUAUUAUUAUUAUUUGUUUUUUCAUUUUGAUCAAAUCAUAACAACAAUAAGCUUGUUACCAUAGUAUACAUACCAUGCUAGAUCUUAAAUUAAUCAUCACAGAAAAGUUGAAUCAAUUUUUGUAAAAUUGAAUGCACCUCAUAAAUUUAUAACAGAUUAAUAAUAGUUCCGAAAAAUCGUAACUAAAGAUAAAAAUGUGAAGUCUGUAAUCAUUUUCUCAGUGGAUGAACUAUAUCAUUCAUAUUAUCAUCUAUCCAUAAAUAUACCACAUCUCAUAAGUACGAACCCAUGUAAUUAAAUGAAGCUCCAAAGAUAAACAUGAUUGUAAAAAGAAGCAUAGAAAUAGCUAAAUUGAUAAAGAAGAAACUUUGCACCUAGUAUAUUUUAUAUUGCAUGUAACACUAUCUAUCUCUUUUGACUUCUGAAUGUGAGGUUUAGCAAUAUUAAUUAGAUGUCCACACUCAUCCUGUGACUGUCAUAGAAAAGAAAAUGAGAAAUUGAAUAUCCUCCUACUUUUUGUUCCUACAAAUCAUCAUAUCCAAUUAAAUAGCGACAUAUGUAACAUUUAAUGCUCAUUUAAUGAAAUUUAAUGAUAUUUUAGUAUACUAAUAUUACACAAAUCAUCAUUUAAUUGGGUAAGAGGAUUUGUAGGAAGAAAAAUAGGAGAAUAUUUAAUUUCUCAAAGAAAAUAAGUUUCAGUUUGGCGUAUGUUCAAGAACUAAAAAUAUGCCAUGGAAUUUGUUACAGUAAAAUGAUUUCAUUUCAUAACAUCAACAAUAUCACUGUCAAUGUUAGUAAUUAUUUAGGAAAUUAUUUAACUAACAGUUCCUUGAUUUUAGCUAAUCAUAUCAAUAUUAUAAUUAUACACUAUUAUUUAUGUAAAUAGAGAUCAAUUUAUGGAUAUACAUAAGAAAUGUCACACCCCGAACCAGACGGCGGAAACGUCCGACGGCGGGUGACUUCAUUUUGUAAUAUCAUCACACAUGUAUAUAAAUGAAUCAUAGACAACAUCAUCACCAUACAUAAAACAUAACAACCAUUGUAGUUUACAUCAUUGUAACUGUAUGAAAAAUUACAUCCAAAAAUAUCGAGUAUGGUGAGAACAAAGAAAUACAGUAAAAUUCUUCAUUCCUUAUCAACCAACCUGUUUUAUCGAGUUCCCGAGAAUACAAGUUAUUUUGAAAACGUUAACAUAUAUAAUGUUGGUGAGUUCAUAAGUAAGUUUGUAUGAAAAACCUUGUAGUAGUUUGUAAACACCAGAAAAUCCGAUAUUUUCUAUAAAAAUAGUUUGUGAGUUUUGUUCCGAUCUUGUAUUAAAGCAUGUGUGUUCUUGUUUGAUGAUGUAUAAAGAGAGUUUCCCAAAAAAUCUUAUAUUUUAUGUAUAAUGAAAAAGUGUGGUCUUAACCCCAAGACCGGAGUAAUGAAAAUGUAUAGUUCGUACUUUGUAUCACGAAAGGAGUAUAUGUAUUCCGUAAGUUUAUUUGUUUGUUAUUCUCUAUGUGAGUCGUUAUAACCGUGGUUGAUGUGACUGUUAUGCCUGUCAUGACGUUCUUCAGGCGUCACUUGUUUAAGGUAAGACAUUUGUCACCCUAGACUGACCCGUUUAGCUGUAGCGAACAACUCAGGUACGGGGGUGUCAACCUCAUAUAGAUCUAUACAUAAAUUAUCGCUCUCCCUCUAGGAGACUUUGGUUAUAACUACAGAACUUAUGAUGUACACUAGGUAGGUACGAAUGAAGGCGUGUCUCACAAGAGCCUUAACUAAAUCUACGCGAAUAGUGUGUCUCGUUGUUUAAUGCUUUAAGUAAUGUUUCAAAUAUGUAUUUUGAAUACAAAUCAUCGGUGAUAAAAAUAUAUUUGUUCAUAUCAAAACAUCAUAUAUGUAAUGUUAUCGACCCGGUUAACAUGGAAUGUGUCGUAUAGGUCCAAUAAGCAUGUAGAUGAGUAUACAAGCCCAUUAAGCGUAUAAAUGAGUAUUUAAGCCCAUUAAGCGUUUAAAUGAGUAUUUAAGGCCCAACUUGAGUAAAAUGUCGUAAAGAGUUCCUUCGUUAUCAAAAUGAUCAUUUUGGCUUCAAAAAAAAAAUCCAAAAUGACUUAGAAGGCCCGCUUUUAUUAAAAUGACAUUUUAGGCCCAUUAAAGCCGAAAGUUUGCAAAUAAGGCCCAUCUUUGUUAGAAAUGGCAUUUUAGACCCAUUAAAACCAUGAAAGCCCAAAAGAAGACCAUUUUGUAAAAAAUAACACUUUUGACCCCUACAAAACCGUGAAUUUCAUAAAAACCCAUUUUUAUCCAAAAAUGACUCUUUUGGUCCUCUCAAAACCGUGAGUUAUCAUAAAAGGCUCACUUUUUGUUUAUUUGUCAAAUAUGGGCCUUCAUUAGGUUUUCUUUAGUUUUCAAGUAUCCUUUAACAUGUUUUAUCUUUUCAACAUCAUAAUGAGUUACAUAAAGUAACUUGUUUUCCUAAGAUCUUCAAGACUUGGAGAUAUAUCGAGCUCAUGAGUAUUAAACAUAGUUUCAUAACAUUUACACAAAAUAUCAUGAAAAUACACACAAGCAUGCAUAAAUACUUAGAUUUAACACAAAACCAACUUGUAUUCUCCCCCAAAAGUUAGUAAAUCAUGAAAAGGGAGGGGUAUAAAGCUCACCUUGGGUGAUGGAUCGGUUUUGAUGAAGAAAUGAAAGAGAAUGAAGGUGUUUGCGACCUUGGAUGUUUCUUUGACAUAAGUUUUCGAGCUUAGGGAGUUCUAGGAAGCAAGAAUCAUGAAAUGGAGUGUUUAAGAGUGUGAAUCUUAACAUGAAAUGGAAACAAACCAAUUGAGAGUGAUAAUAACUUAACAAACUUAAUGAUUCUUGAAGUAGAAGCCUUGAAUUUACUUAAGCACCACACGAUUUUUAGAGAAAGAUGGAAGGGAGUUCUUAGUGUUUUAGAGAGAUAUGGGAGGAUUUUUGUUGUUUGAAGGGGAAAAGAAUAAUGAAGGCGAUGGAGGGGUGGCCCUCGGCCGAGAAUAAGAAGAGAAGAGAGAGGAGGUGGUGUGGUUUUUACAUGGUGGUCUUAAUUUGGUGCAUGGAGACAUGUUAGAUAACGACAUUGUUAUUUGAUGGUUAUUAGUGAGGUGUCACCUUACUAAUCACCAUUUUUUAAAAAACCAAGAAUGGGAGGAAAGAAAAGAACAUGGGUCUUGGGCUUGAUAAAGCAUUGGACCAUUAGAGAAUUUCGAUCCAUGUGGGCCCACUUAUGAGUUUACGGCCCAAAUGUGGUGAAUGAAAUGGGUUUUCGGCCCAUGAAAAACAAAUGAAUGUUUUUCGGCCCAAUAAGGCCCAUGAAGGGUCUUAUGGCCCAAAAUACUAUUAUUUAAGGGAUGUGGGUCCAACUAGGGUCCAAAUGAGCAUUCUUGGCCCAAGGGAACCAAGUUGAGGGUUCACUGGCCCAUUAGGACCAAUAAGAGAAUCCUGGUCUAAUAAGAGGUUUGAACCGGGAAGUUAGGGUUUCAAGCUCAAGAUUGGGUGAAUGCAGCGUAUUAAAUUAGGUUUAGGGCUUGCACAAGUGAAUUUUUUAUUCAAAUUGUCGUUUUUGAAUGAAUAACAUGUAUAACAUAAUACUUAGGGUUACAAGAAUUCAACAAAAAAAUUACACAUGGACAUAAUUUCCUAGCCUUAAAAUACUAGUUGUGACAAGAAAUGACCGAAUUUUGAGUUGGCAUUAUUAAUUGGAUUAUUAAUUAUUAUAAUGGUAUGUCUUAAUUACAUUAAUCAGGUGUGAGACUCAUGUAUUAUAUGGGUUCAUUUGAAAGAAAAUAUAAAGAUAAAAUUCAAAAUAAUUAAGAAGUUUGAAUUUAUAAGAAAAGUAAGAAAAAUAUUGAAUUAUAAAAAUUAAAGUGUUUAUUUUUCUCUUUUCAAUUUAAACAAAUAAUUUAGAUAAAUAAAUAAAGAAAAUUAGUGAAACUUUAAUUUAGUAAUUUUGAAGUUAGAAGGAAAGUCCAUUAAUGAAAUUGAUAUGCAUUUAUUAUUAGAUUUUAAUAAUAUGUGAAAUUUAAUAAAAUAGAAAAAACCUUAAAAAAAACAUGUGGAAUAAAAUUUAAUUUAAAUAAUCAUAAAAUUACGUGUGACAAAAUAAAUAAGAAUAUGACAUGUGGCAAAAAGAUCUUUAUUUAUUAGGGUAGAUAAUGUGGCAAUAAAAAGAAAAUGAAAAUAAUAAUAACAUAACUUGUGGAAAUAAAAUUACUCUAAUAUUGAGAAAAUUACAUUUGUCAAAAUCAAUGUGAGAAUGACAUGUGGCAAAAAAAAUUUAAUUUAUUAGGGUACUAGUUGUGAGACUCGUAUGUUAUAUGGGUUGGAUAAAAAAGAUUAAAUAUGAUGUUUAAACAAAAAUUUAUUUAAAUUUUAAGUUUUAAAAUUGAAUUUAAAAGGAAACAUAUUAAAUACUAUAUGAGUUGUAAUAUUGUAAUUUAUUGGCUAUUUUCAAUUAAGGCAAUUAUUAAUUAAGGUGUAAAUAUUAUGUGUUAAUUAAGAAAAGAUAAAAAAAAUGAGAAAAUGACAAAUGGAUAAAACAUUUAUUCAAAAAUACCAAAUACUGACAUAUGUCUAAGUUAAUGAGAGAGUGACAUGUGACAAAAUUAUUUCCAAGUUAAUUCGGAUUAGGAGGAGCACCGUAUACCAAGCAUUUGCGAUAACAAGCAUUUCAGUAAUCAUAUACAGAGGAGAGCGGAUUGUUAUCUGGUCAACAAUCACUAGAGGGUGGAACACCAAAUCUGCUAAAAUCAACCUCAUGCCUAAUCACAUCAUAACCAUGUUGUAGCUGUGCUAACCUUCAAUCGAUUACUUAAAUCAGAAAAGGAGAAAGCAAAAAACUUGUGUGAAAGAACUGUAGAUAAUCCAUAUGCAUCGAUUUCAUGUAAAGAAUUCAGACCAAAGGUGUUGUGUCGUCUGUCGUAGAAGAUGACUCCAUAGCUUGGAGAAGAAAACAGUCAGCGGUUUCACGUUUCGAGCGAUUUUAAUUCGUAAGAAAGCAGUCAGAUUCCCAUGCUUCACCGUCGGCAUCCCACAUUGAUGGAGUUGUGAACAAAAAAUGAAGGUUACAAGUUUGGCAUCCCACAUCGCUGGUGGGACAAAAAAUAAAGGCACGCAUAUCUUAUAAAAGGACAUAGGUUCCUUAAAAAGUUAAACCCAACUACUCGGUGGGCUAACCGGUUCUUUUGAGCCCAUGGUUAGCUGGACUGAUUUGGCCUUGGAUUCCGAGUUAGACUGAUUUAGUCCGAUUUGGACCGGUUUUGACUGAUAUUGACCAAUGCCGACUAUUUUACCCUCUAACCCUUGUUCGUAGGCGGUUGGUGGCCAUGAAGCGCCUAGNNNNNNNNNNNNNNNNNNNNNNNNNNNNNNNNNNNNUUGAGAUUUAACCUCAACUACAUAUUAAUCAUUUGCCGCUCUAGCAUUCUGGCGUAUUGACACGGCGGGAGAGUUAUAAUUAUAAAUGAUUAUACAAUGUCGCAUGUUCCUUCUUCCUCGCCACCAAAUUUGCCACCAACCGACCCCACCACUGUCACCUCUACCACCACCACCUAUGCCACCACCAUCUUCUCUGCCACCAACCUCCAUAAUCAUAUAUGAUUAAUUACUUUGUAAACAAACAUAUAUGUAUAAUCAUUUAUGAUUUGACAUAUAUGUAUAAACAUGUAUAAUCAUAUAUGAUUAUAUUGUAAUAUCCCAAGCAUCAUGAUAAAAAUGUUUAUUUUUAAAACCAUUUAAUAACCUAUAAGUCUUACAAAAAAAUGUUUCCAAAAAGUUAUAACCAUAAAUCAGAUUAUCCCAAAAAUCAUUUAUCAAUAAAAUUUCCAAGGAUGAUGUGCACAAUCAUGCAUUCACCUAGCCCCGAUCAUCUGAUGUACCUGAAACCAUGAAACUAAACAGUAAGCCAAAGCUUAAUGAGUUCCCCUAAAAUACCAAACGUAUCAAGACAGAUAAAACAUGCAAUGGGUCCAAUCAGUCAUCUGACUAGAAUACCAUAGCCCAAUCAAUCAUCGGACCGGAAUGCCAUCAUGCAACGAGUCCAAUCAGUCAUAAGACUAGAAUGCCAUCAUGCAACGAGUCCAAUCAAUCAUCAAAUUGAAAGGCCAUCAUGCAACGGGUCCAAUAAGUCAUCUGAUUGGAAUACCCUAUCCUAUUGGCACACGCACAGAGCAGUAAAGCCUCACCCAAAACUUCACUAUGUCAACAUAUGCAAUAGACAAACAUAUAACCAACAAACAUAUAAUCAUGCAGAUAUAACAGAUAACUACAUCGUAGCAACGUCCUAUAUAUUGGGAUACAUAACCUAGUGGGUAAGCAUUGGUGCCUUCGACUCAAGAGUAUAGUGAGGAAAACUCACGUGAACAAUUCAACAGAAGCCUAAUAGCUACCACAACAACAAAACAUCCAACCCAGGCUUCGUAAAGCCAAACCAAAACCAAUCCUUAGCCAAAUGCUCAAUUCUACUCAAGUUUGACCAAAAGUCAAAUUGGUCAAAAAGUCAAUGUUCAAAGUCAAAGUGAAAAUUUCCAACCACCAACCUUCUACAUCGUGGCCUUUCUUGGCUACGUUGUAGGCACAAAAUGCAGAAAUAGUCGCUGAUUCCCCAAUCGUCAUGCCGUGGCAGCCAAAAGCCACACCGUGGGGACUGGUCUGAACAACCCAAACAAGCUUAAUCCAUUUUCUUCCAAUUUCAAGAGCUCCAAAGCCCAAAUAUGGUUCUUUCCAAGGUCUUAGUGGAUAAAGUUUCUAACUUUAUCCAUUAGGAAGGUCCAAACCACCAAGAUCUAGAAUUUAAGUCUCAAAGGGAUCCGAAAAUGCAUCUUUCUCGACUUAAUCCAUUAAGUCCAAGUCUCCCACUUUCAGAUCUGAAUCAACAAGAUGUAUAGAGGGAUAAAGUUUCCAACUUUACCCAUAAUAAUGCCACAAUCAUUCAAUAUUUAAACUUUAAUACACCAAAAUGGCCUAAAGGACCAAGAUAACUUGCAUGGCUAAAAAGGAAGGCAAAAGAUCAUAACUUUCCUAGUCCACAAGGUCCAAGAAAUAUUCCAAAUUGAUCAAAUGAUGUUGGAGUCCACUCAACUCCAUUAUCACCCAUAUAAUGUGAAACGUCCCAAAAACAUGAUCCAAAAAUUUCAUUUUUAAUUUAAUAAAAUAGUAUUCCAAAACAUUAUCCCUAUAACCCAAAAGAAAAUAAGUGUAUCAAAUAUCAUAUCAAUCAGAGUAAUAUCUCAAAAGCGGAAUCCAUAUAGUGUGUGCGACGCAGUCAUACUGAGCUCUUCCCUUAGAAACCAGAAGUACCUGAAACAUAAACUAAAAACCGUAAGCACAAAGCUUAGUAAGUUCCCCAAACUACCCUAUACCAUACAUAAUAAAUCACAUACUGGGCCCCCGCCCGACAUCGAGCCCCGCUCGGUAUACAUAUAUGUUAGUCUUAGGCCUCGCCUGUCAUUAGGCCUCGUCCACUAUACACGUACAAUAUAUAUCACAUAAUCAUUCUAACACAUAUAAUGAUCAUAAAAAAAUAGCAUAUGUUUUAGUCAUUAGGCCUCAACCGGUAUACAUAGCAACACAUAACACACGUAAGGAUAAUGCAGACUCCUAGCAUCCUAACAUAAACAACAGGGGCCAACAUUGGUGCUUUAGACCUGCUAAACCCAGUGAGGAAACUCACCUCAACUGCCGAAUCUCACUGCAAAACCCUAGUUGCUGCCCUAACGAAUCCCCGGGAUGUCAAUAAAAAAUAGCACCCAAUUAAUAUUUGGGUUCCAAUCCAUAACCAUAAGUCCAACAAUCCAUACUUGGGGUAAAAAUACCAUUUUACCCUUCACCUAUUUUAGCCCAAGGCUAAGGCCCAAACUCAAUAUCUAAAAGGCCCAAAACCAAAUAAUCAACCAAGACCCACUUAUGGCCCAAUUUUCCAAAUUGGGCCCAAACCCAUUUAUGGGCCUUACCCUAAAGCCCAACAAUUUUCCUAGUCUAAACUCUUAGCCUAAAAGCUUGAUUCCAGGUGGCCCACUAAGUCCCAAAGCAACAAAUUCCAAAGAAAUGACUCAAUCGAGGUCCAAAAGUCGCAAAACCCAACAGACUGAGUACGUUGGGCGUACUCAGCUGUACUCUAAGCAUACAUGCAACUUGGGUUGUACGCCGCACUUAAUGACUUGUACAUCCAACGUACUCAACCAUUAAGCCAAAAUCAACCUUAAGAACUUAAUGCUUACGACUAGAAGCCCAAACCACAUAUCCAAGUCCUAAUAAGCGUUUAUUACCAUAAAGUCACUAACUUGGUGACUUUGCAUGCCCCAUAAAGACCCAACUCCAAAAUAUAACACCCUACUUUCAUCAAAUGGACAUAAACUAUUGCAUGGAUGAAUCUAAACCUUAAAGGAGGAAACUUUAUGCAUCUAUAACUUCAGAAACACCAAGAGUGGCAACUCAAAGCUCCCGGAGCGGUAUUAAACCACUAGUUCUCAUUCUUAGGGCCAAAAGGGACCAAAACACACAAAUGAUAGAUCUAAGCCACUAAUGAGAAAGUUCAUAGCUUUUUACCUCAAACAAUCUGGAAAUGAAGUAAAUAAACGAGGUCCACAAGCUCCACUACCUUGCACCAACCUUCUACUUCUUGAAUAUGAACCAAAACCACCAAAAUGAAUACAAUGAGCUCAAAACACAAAGGAGAGGCUUAGGGUUUCAUGCUUGAUGCUAUAGGGACAAUGGAGGUUGAGAAAUAAGGGUUUCAUGGUCCAUAAUGAUGUUUAUAUAUUUCCCAACCUUGAAAAUUAGGGUUUCUAAAUGACUCACAUACGCCCCGCAUACAUACACAUACACUCAACGUACAUGUCCAAAGUCUCGAUCCCACCUCGCAUGAGUAUGCUAAGCGUACCAUGCGGUACGCCCCACGUACAACUCAAGGACCAAAUAUGCAACAUUAAUAACAAUGAGGGUGUUGAGAGAAAAACUUGAGACACACUUGAACAAACGUUAGAACAAUUAUAGUUGCAGAAUAGUUAAUCUCAAACGAUCUAAAAGAUCAAAAAUAAUAAGCUAACGAGUUAGAUAGUUAGAUAGUUAGUUGCGGAAAUGUAAGGAAAUAUAAAUGACAGCAGGUGAUAUAUCAAGUAAACACAUAAGUUGAUUCAUAACAUGGAAUGCAUUCAAACCAAGUUAUUGAGAGAGAUCAAGUUUAGUGAUAAAGUCAUGAAUGAGUUGCUCCGAAGAGGAAUAAUAUUUAGUUAUGAUCUAGAGGAUUUAGAGAGUAAGAAGAGAUAUGAGAUGCGUAAUAGAGAGAUGUAAUAGAUACACUUGAAGAUUGUUCAGAUAGAUAUUUUUAAACUGUGAAAGAAUGAGCUCUAUAUAUAGAGACUCAAGAAUUACAUUUGAUCAACUCUCUAAGAGUAGCCAUGCAAGGCAUACUGGACGAUAGAGAUUAUUACAGAAAAGAUAGAUAAAAUUAAACUAAGUAAAGUAAGUAUGACUACGGUUGGAUAAAUGACUUCGGAUUAGGCUGCUGAUGAUAGCUUGACUGUGGAUCCUUGAGGGCUGCGGUAGACUAAGUUAAGAGGGUCACUUCAUGAUUCAACAAUUUCCCCCUAAAUGAUCUCUUUAACUUUUCUUCACCUAUCAAGUUUAAUGAAAUUGAUCAGAAUCCACCAAAACUUCCUGAUAUUUUCCAACCAGGUGAUCCUUCUUAAAAUCUCGAACUUGACUUCGGCAGUCGUGUGUUUUGAUUUUUCUACUGCGGUUCGACAGAUUUCAAGUUGCUUCCUUGUAAGACGAUUCAUGGAGGUCAUGUGAAUGAAGUAUUUGACUUGAUCAACCUUCCUUUUGAAGAUGACCCCAAGUUCAGGGAAGUUUGUUGCACCUAGGGAUCUUUCUUGAUAACCAUCGGUAGGCAUUGGUGCAGGAUCUAGUGGUGGUAGAUCGAACUUCUUGGAAAUUGUUGGGUAGAUGUCCGCAUCAAUCUUUGCGAAGUCGCAGACUGUUUCCUUCAGAAAAAUGCUUGCCCUUUCAAGCAUUAUCUUCAUUUUUGGAUACUUUUCACACUUGUUUUGGAACACCUUUGCUAUUAGAAAUACUUCUUCUGGGUUCAUACAUGGGAAGUCAGCUUGGGUGCGGACAUAGUCCUGAUUACUUCUAGUAAGUGUGUAUUGAACGAAGUCAUCCUUCAUGAAUUUCCGGGGUUUGAAGUUCUUGACUGCGGAUGGUCUAUCGUUAGACCAGAUUUUCUCUAUGGAAGAGGCAUGUUUGGCAUGGAAACGAUUGAGUCUCUCAAAUUCCAUAGGCAGUCUUCUGUGAUCCGGUAGGCUACUGUCAAAUUGCUCAAAUACCGUGAAGUAUUUAGCAUUUGGGGAGAUUAGAACAUCCCGAUAUCCAUCAGAGGGGGGUUCAGCAUAGGUAAGGUAGGGUUUGCAGUCAUCGUCCAGUAGUCUGCGGUGGGGAUUGAUCCAAGAGUUUAUCAAGGAUUCAUCCAUGACAGUUUCAAAACCGCAUUCUCUCCAUACGAGUUCAGCAAACUUAGCUGUUUUCCAGUAAUCUUUCUUCUGUUUUGUGACGGGAGAGUCAUUGGAGCUUGCUGAAGACAUGUCAGGAGCUAGAUUCUUGAAGUGAAGGGGAGUCUCAGGUCGUUCAGGAGAGGGAACGAUUUUUUGUUGCGGUGGAGGUGACUGAUUGCUUGGACUCUUGUGAGGAGAUGGUUGCGGUGAAGGAAUUUUCUUAGUUGUGUAGGGGGGACUUCUAUGAUGAGAAUCACUGUUGGAUUGAUGGUCUUCUUCAUUAUGAUCUUCUUCACGAUGGUCUUCUUCACUUCCCCCUCUUGAAGAGUUCAGACUCGGAGUCUCCUCAAGCCAUUGUUUGAGACCAUCGACCUUGGCACACACCUCCUAAAAUUGAGCUUUGAGAACGUCAGCCAGUUGCUGAUUGUCUGGGAUGGUGGUGUUGAAGAGUAGGCGAUGAAUCUCCUUUGUAAGAUGUAGAAUUUCAGGACCAAGGAAAUUGGACGAUAGGGAUCGUUGAAGUCUGUUGAUGGUUGUAUGAAAGACUGAGAUAGUGGACUCAUAAGCAGUGUGAGUCUCAGCUAUCAGUUUCUGUGAAAGAGUGGAUUGGUCCGCAAUGGCUGUUUGCAGAUUUUCUUUGAUUGCGGAUACCUCAAAGAUGAGGUGCUCCGCAACAGCCAUGAAUUCCUUGUGAUAUGCUUGUCGAUGGACUGAAUCCCCAUUUCCACUUUGAGAGAAAUCCUCUCAGCAGCUAGACGUUCCCUAGUCUCCAAUCUUUCAAUCCUUUCGAUCAAGGACUGCGGUACUGGAUGGUCUUCAGAUUGCGGUUGAGUGGACUCGACCGCGGCAAGAAUUUGAUCUACUUUGGAUUGUAGAUUCAAGAAUUCUUUUCUAGACACAACCAUCUUCUUCUUUUUCUUUUUCUCCUUGGGCUUAGAGGUUAAGUGUUGAGAACCACUCGAUUCCUCUUCUUCAUCAAACAUCAUUAGGUCAUCAUCCGAAGGGCUAGGCUGAUUUACCUUAUUUAGAUCAACAUCAUCAAAUCCGAAGGUGGGAGCAGAGCUGACUUCUAUUGCGGUGCCUUCGUCUUGAGAAUCUUUAGCAGUUGGAGUUGGAGGGGGCUUUGAAGGAAUUUGAUCAGCAGUCGCAUCUUGAGCUUUGCGGAUUGUAUCAGCCACAUCGUCCAUCAAAGCUUGAACUUUGUAGAUAGUAGAUCCAGUAUUGGCAUUAUUGAUUACGUCUGCCCAAUACUUCGCUACAGACUGAAUCUCUUGUUGUUUCUGUUGAAGUUGCUUUGUUUGACGUGCCUUUCUUGCUUGAAAUUCCCUAUGGAAAGCGGAAUAUUUCUUGGCUUCGGCUUCAUUUGUUGGUUGAUACUUACUCCAUGAAUCGUUGAGGUCAAUUUCAUCAAUUCCUUCAAAACGCACCAAGGUGUCCCUUGGGUUCACGGAUCCUUGCACAUUGGUGCUCACCGUGCCUAGACCACCUGUAACAGAUGUAAGCAAAGUAGGAUUUCCAGAGCUUCCUCGGUCUCCUUGACCUAGGGUGAAGUCUGGCCUUAGCUCAGUUCUGGCAAAGGCUGAAGAAUCGCCUUGCGGUUGGGAAGGUGUUUGAAGGGUUUGGGUAACAAACAAAAGAAUGGAUUUCAACUCCUCAGGGGAAAAGAAGUGUAGACGGGAAGCCCUGGAGACCUUAGGGCGGGAUCCAGUUCCAUCCUCUUGGGAUUGACCUAGGGGAGAGUCUCCACGUUGCAGUGAAACAGACGCACCAUCUGCGUCGGAGUGGUAUUGGAUGGUUGAUUUGAAUGGGUGUGCGGCCACCCCAAGGACUACCGGAGCCUUUUGAGAGGCUGCGGUAUCAGUACGGUCACACAUUUGGCCUUUGGGAUUGGUUUUUCUUUUCUUGAGGAUUGAGAUGGGUUAAUCGUCCUCAUCAAAAUCACUACUAGAGGGAGAGGGAGAUUUAUGUUUGCCUGGUUCGACAUUUGUGGGCACAUAUUGGAUGAUUUUUCUUUUCUUUGAAGGAUUAGCUUGUUUGGGAGCAUCCUUUUUCUUAGGAAUGCCUUGUUUCUUGGUGUGGCAGGGGCCUUGAUGAGCUGAGGCUAACUGCUUACGUCUUUAUGAUAAAGACAAGUUGGAAAGAGUGGUGGAAGAUGGGACUGCGGUACUACCAGGGACAGUGAUUGCGGAUGGGGUUUGUAGAGGCGGGGUAGGAAGGUAUGGGGCAAUACCUUCCGUAGCCUCAAUAUGGUCUGAGACAGUAGAAGUUUCAAGAACAAGAGUAGAGAGAAUGUGGGUUGGUAGUCGUCUGAUAGGUCCAAAAGCAGAUUGAUCAGAAGAGGGAUUGUACCUUUUGAGAUCUUUGGUGAUAAAGAGAUUGAUGUCGUUACCCAUGCUAAGUCCUGCAUCCGCAUGGAGAUCUGAUAUGCAUAGAGACCAGAACCUGGAAAACGUGAGUUCGGUAUGGUUCUCUCUUGGACUUUUCUUGGGAAUGUAUUACAAGAAGUCGUCCCAUAGAAUCUGACCGUAGUUGACAUCAUGGCCAUUGAAGAUGCUCCACACUAAUUCCAGGAGCUUGAGACCCAUAUUAUCCAUGCCUCCGGUUCUGUCGGACAGGCUGCGGAUCACAAAGUGGAAAACAAAUUGCCAUACUGGAGGCAAUUGAUUUUUCUUGAAUUCUCCUAUGCCUUUGAUCUUCUUUUGAUAACCCAUCUAGUAAAGUGCAGAAAGGAUGUCCGCCAUGCUUGGAGUGAAAACCUUGAUUGAAGCAUGAACAAGGAGGUUGAUGGCAAUGAGAGACUUUUCUUUAGUCAGAAUGACCAAAGAAUCAUUUACUAAGUUUAGAUGCACUUCUUGAGGAUUUUUGAGAGGUCGAUACGCUGAGAAAGCACAUUUGAAAAUGGUUGAAAGUGGAACCACAUCUGUGAUUGAAUCGAAGGGUCCAAACAGUGGGUGAUUGGACAAAAACUUGAUCAUCAACUUUGUUGGAGCAUUAUAGAAGGAUUGCUCUUCGAACACAACCCUAAAAUUGAUCGAGGCAAUCGUUGGCGUUGGGUGUCUUGAAGCAGAGUCAGAACUAGUAGGGUUUACUGAUCCAAAUGCCUUGGAGUGUUUCUUGGAGAUGCCUGAUUUCACCAUUGUUAGGAGUUGAAGAAGCUUUGCAAGAGAAAAACAGAGUGCAAGAAAAGGUUCGAGGUUCAGAAAGUGUAAACGUUUCUUAGGGAAGAAGGAGGGUUUUAUAGUGGCUAAUUUGGAGCGGGAAACGAUUUUACCCUAAGUGAAAUUAGGUAAAACGUUUGGGUGUUUUUCUUGGAUUAGGAGAGAUAAUCUCAGCCACAGAUUAAGAAAAAGGUUUAAUCUAUAUUUUUGAGAUUUACCAAAAAGGGUUGGCAUUUAAUGAAAUGUCAGGCUUCAACACCACGUCUGAAGAACGUGUGGUGAGGGUGGGAUUAAUCCGUUGUGUAAAGGGGAAGUUGUAAUGGAUUAGAAGUUUUGGGGUAAUAGGAAGAGACAGUUUAAAAAGGAUUUGAUUUUGGGAAAUCGUUAUUUUUGUCAUCAUACCAAAAUAGGUCUGACAUGAGGUUUAUUCAAAAAGAAUGGGACAGUUACACAAAGAAUGUUUUUUUAAUGUUUUCUCUAUUUAAUGAAGGAUCAUUAAAUAGCACACCAUGAUUUAAAAAAAAUGAAACAGUUUGAAAAUCAAUUAAAGUGACUGUGGAUUAAAACUUCAUUGCGGCUGGAUCAUUUGCCAUCGGAUGGAUGACUACGGUAGAAGAACUGAGGAGAGCACUUGAAUAAAGAUUAGUAAUAACAAACAGUAAGGACCAUUAAAGUAUAAGUAUGAUAUAUGGUUGCGGUACAUCGGAUAUAUCAAAGCCAUCUAUCAUAGAUAACUUCAACUAGGACCGCAACAGAGACCAAGGAUGGUCUGCGGUACCUAUCAAUUCAAAAAGAAUUAUGGGUCCGGAUUCAUCAUUCCUAACAUUUGUAAGAAAUUGUUGAAUUUUGUAGAGUCAAGUUCCUUUGUGAAUACAUCAGCAAUCUCUUCAUGAGUAUGGACAAAAAUUGGUUCAAUGUUACCUUUCAGGAUGUGGUCUUUGAUGAAGUGAUACCGUAGUUCAAUAUGCUUGGUCUUGGAGUGCUGAAUUGGAUUGUGAGAAAUCGCUAUAGCACUUUCAGAGUCACAAUAGAUUGGUAUCCGCAACAUUCUGUAUCCGUAGUCCAAUAGUUGUGUUUUCAUCCAUAAGACUUGUGAGCAACAACUGGCUGCGACCACAUAUUCAGCUUCUGCGGUAGACAAUGACACACAAUUUUGUUUUCUUGAUGACCAGUUGACGAGUCUUCCACCUAAAAAUUGACAUCUACCCGAGGUGAUUUUACGAUCCAGUUUACAUCCGACAUGAUCCGCAUCUGUGAAUGCUUGUAGGCUGAAGUCGUUCCCUGCGGGGUACCAUAAGCCAAGAGUCUUGCUACCCUUUAAGUACCGUAGAAUUUGCUUGGCUGCGGUCAUGUGUGACAUUUUCGGGUCAGCUUGGUACCUUGUGCAUACACCCAUUGCAAAGACUAUAUCUGGUCGGCUUGCAGUGAGGUACAUCAAAGAGCCAAUAAUACAUCUAUAAGUCUUGUGAUCAACUGAUUCACCCGAGGGAUCAGCAGAUAUCUUAUAUCUGAAGGCCAUGGGGACUUUAGCCGAAGAACAAUUAUCCAUUGAAUAUUUCUUUAACAGUUCAGAGGUGUAUUUAUCCUAAUGAAUGAAUAUCCCUUGAGGGACUUGUUUCACUUGAAGUCCUAGAAAGAAGUUAAUCUCUCUAUUCAUGCUCAUUUGGAACUUGUUGGUCAUGAGCUUAGCGAAUUCAUUUACCAUCUUUUGAUCAGUUGAGCCAAAAAUGAUAUCAUCCACAUAUAUUUGUACAAGCAUUAGAUGAUCACCAUUUGCUUUUCUAAAUAAAGUGGGAUCAAUCACUCCUCUUUUGUAUCUAGACGAGACAAGAAAUUCAGAGAGAGUCUCGUACCAUGCUCUUGGGGCUUGUUUUAGACCAUAGACUGCUUUUUCAAGCUUGUAGCAGUGGUCUAAGAAUUCAAGACUUCCGAAACCCGGAGGUUGCUGAAGAUAGACUUCCUCUUUUAAUUCGCCGUUGAGAAAAGCACUUUUCACAUCCAUUUGAUGAGUCUUGAUGUUCUUGUGUGCUGCGUAUGCUAAGAAGAUCCGGAUGGCUUCCAUUCGUGCUACCGGAGCAUACGUUUCAUCAUAGUCAAUACCUUCAAGUUAACUAUAUUCCUUGGCAACUAGUCUUGCCUUGUUUCUUAUGACCGCACCAAAUUCAUCCAACUUAUUCUUGUACACCCAUCUGGUACCUACAAUGGUGUGACCUUGUGGUUUUGGAACGAGCUACCAUACUUUGUUUCUUUUGAAUUCUUCUAGCUCUUCUUGCAUUGCGGAAAUCCAGUCUGGUUCUAGUAAUGCUUCUUUGAUCUUUUGGGGUUCGACCGAGGAUAGAAACGUUGCGUAGUGACAGUGAUCAGAUAAGUCCUUGAAUGAUUGAGUCUGGAUUCUUGCGGAUGGGUUGCCGAUGAUUUGACCUGGCGGGUGGUCUCUCGUCCUAACAUGCAGAUAGGGUUGCAGAUGAUCAACAGCUGCGGUGGAGGGAAUAUCUUCAAUAUCAGAAGACUCUGCGGUUGGAGAAGGCAGUUCCCCUGGAUUUGAGAACAUCCAGCUGAAUUGUCUUGAACUGGGAAGGAGGGAUCAGAGUUUUCUUGGGCAGAUGGUGACGGUUCCUCCUGGAGUGCAGACGGGAGUUCCUCUUGAACCUGCGAAGGUUCCCCCUGGAUUGCGGAUGGGAGUGUGAUAAUCCUUGAACCUGUUCUUGUGUCAAUGUUUUCUAUGUUUUCAUCAUCCGAAUCUGAAGAAACGUUUGAUGGUUAAAACUCCCUACGGAUUGGAGCUGCAUCUUCUAGUACUGGAACCUCGAUGGUUGUUGCAUGGUCCGGAGUUGAGUUUUCCCCCUCAAACGGCGAGGUGGAAGUAUUUAGAGAUACUUCAUCGGACAGUGUUGGACCAGAUACGUCAGCAUGCUGCUACUGAAGUUCUAGGGAUACAAGGACUUCAGAUAACUUGGCUGUAUCUACCGGAUCGAAGAGAUCGUCAUAGUUUACUUCAACUAGAUUUAAUGGACCCGAAGAGACAGGAAUAUCACUUUCUAGAAUUGUUGUGGUUUCAGUUGAUGGAGCGGUGUUGCGGAUGUGAUAGUCAUCAAAUUUCACAUCGAAGCUUUCAAUUAUCAACCUUGUGCAUAUAAUGAGAACUCCAUAAACAACCUUGUUAGUGGAGUAGCCAAGGAAGAUGCCUUCAUCAGACUUUGGUGCGAAUUUGUUGAGAUAGUCUCUGUUGUUGAUUAUGAAACAUCUACACCCAAAUAUAUGAAAGAAUCAGACAUUUGGCUUGCGGUUGUUAAGGCCCUCAUAUGGUGUUUUCUUGAGACGUUUGCACACAAUGCUUCGGUUUUGUACAAAAUAGGUUGUGGCCACUGCUUCGGCCCAGAAGUAGAGAGGAAGGUGUGCAAAGUUGAGCAUAGAUCUGGCAGCUUCUACUAGAGUGCGGUUCCUUCGUUCUACUACCACAUUUUGUUGCGGUGUGUAAGGAGCUGAGAAGUUGUGAGUAAUGCCUUUGGAAACCAAGAAACUAUUUAGGAGAUGGUUAGUAAACUCGGUUCCAUUAUCACAUCGGAUACGUCUAACUGGUAACUUGAUCUGAAGUUCAAUUUCCUUGAUCAAGUUGAUCAACACCUGCGGUGUUUCUGACUUGAGUCGAAGAAAGAAGACCCAUGUGAAACGUGUGAAGUCAUCCACUAUGACCAAUAUGUAUUUCUUGUGAUGAAGACUGGCUACAGUGGAUGGACCGCAGAGAUCAAUGUGUAAGAGUUCCAAUGGUUCAGAAAUUGAGGAGUCAAUCACUGUGGGGUGACUUGCCUUGAAUUGUUUUCCACAUUCACAUGCAGGACAAAGAGUAUCAUUGCUAAACUUGAGGAUUGGAAGACCUCUGACUAGUUCUCUAGUGACCAAAUUGUUAAUGUAUCUGAAGUUGAGAUGGGCGAGCUUGCGGUGUCAUAGCCAGCUGACUUCGGUUACUGCUUUGGAUAGGAAGCAUAACUGCGGUUUGCCUAUGAUCAAAGAUACAUCCAGAGGGUACAUAGUACCUUUGGAUCUGGACUUGAUCAGACAAGUGCUCCUAUUGCUUGUCAUUACAUAGCAAAAUUGGUCAUCAAAUUCAACACGAUGGUCUGCUUUACAUAGUUGACCAACACUGAUGGGAUUGUGUUUAAGGCCUUUACAUAAGCAACCUUUUGAAUAGAGAAGUUUCCCGUAGUAAGAACACCAUAACCUCGGAUUAUCCCAUUCGCAUUGUUCCCGAAUGUGACGUUUCCACCGUUGCAAAUUGGCCUGAAAUCUCGAAGGUAUUCUAACCUUCCCGUCAUGUGCAAGGAGCAGGCACUGUCGAUUAACCAUUCUUCUUCUUGUUCCUCCUUGCACAAGGCCUGAGAAUUACACGGUCAAUUUAGGCAUCCAAACUAGUUUGGAGCCUGGGACAAAGGAUGAGUUUCUGAUUGAUGCAUAAAUCGAGGUUGCAGGGACUGGUUUCGUGUCAACUUUUAAUCCUAGUCCUGGGUGUUUGUGAGUUUUUGAGUGUUGUGUUGUUUUGAAAAGUUACGAGGUUUCUAAAAAGGAUCAAUUUUGACAUGAGAUAACCUUUUCUGACAACUACAUUGACAUUGACAAGCUGAAAUUUUGUCUUUUGUUUUGACAUUUUGUUUGUUCAACGGGCGGAAUGAUGAGGUAGACUUGUGACUGGUCCGAGGUUGGUAGAAUCUAACAUUUGAGCUGUUGGAAUUUGAAAAAGUUCUUUUCGAAUAAGAUUUAGCACGUGUAAAGUCUUUAGACCUUUUUCUAGGAUUUGGUAAAAUGCCCUUCCACUUGUUGAAAUUUUGAUGGGACUUUAAAAGUGUUGGAGUGGGUAAGAUACCUUUCCAUUUUGGAUCAUCUGAGGAAUAGAUUUGAAAACCAUUGCUACGAAAAGACCUUUCUUUCUUUUGGGUUUUGUUAGAUGAGUUAGGAAUGGAUGUUGAAACUGCACAUUCCUUUUUUCAUGUUUUCUUGAUGGGAUAGUUUUUUGAAAAAUAGUGAACAUAAACAAACUUUUCUGGACUCUUAGAUUUUGGAAAUCUGAUAUGUCUUUUAUUUUUAGACAAGGCUUGUCAAUUUGUGCCUCGGGAUCGAAUAUCCUCUUUGAAAGCCUUUUUUGCUAAAGUUUUUGGAAAACCGCAAUCAUUAGUGUUCAAUUGCGGUUUCUUGGAAACCUUUGAAAAGUUUUAACAACGAGGGCUUGACUCAUCAGAACUUGAAGAUUCAAGGUUUUGAGAGCAUUGACCUACUUCAAAGUUUUCUAUGGGUAGUUCAUGGUGAAUAGGUUGAAGAGUCACAGAGCUUUUUAUUGUGGCCUGUCGUAAGGAAGACUUAGCUACCGUAGCGUAAGUCUGAGUCGUGACUUCAGUGGGACUUUUCUGAGGAUCAUGACUGCAGUGAGAGGCACUGCGGUCUGAGGACAAAGGUGGAAAGUCCUGUGAGACUUCAGGACUUUCUAUGACAAUUUCUUCAUUAACCAAAUUUUCAAUAGCUUCACUUUCAUUGAACAAUUUUUCUAUUAAUAGAUUUAAGCGUACAAUCUCACUUUGAGCUAAAUCUCUUUGGUUCAAAGCUAUUUCUAGUUGUGUUUCACUCAACAUUCUUGCAUAUUUUUCUAACUCUAAAUCCUUUUCUAACAUGGCCAUUUUGAGUGUUUUGUUGUCCAGUCGUCCUCUUACAUGAAACAUCUCUUGGGACGCUAUGUUCUUCUCAUCUAAGGCUUUGUUGUAGUCUGUAAGGACGGCAGCACAAGUGUCAUUAAGAUUGUCUAUGAAGGGUUGACAGUCAUGCAUGUUAUAGUUUAGAGUUUGAAUCAUGAGUUUUACCUGUUCGACAAUGCUUAGAGUUCCAUCCUUUGCCAUGUAGCAGUAGUUCCUUUCCAGCUUUGUAGACCCAUCAUCAUCAGCAGUUGCUAGCAUGCAAAUUUUGCCUUUUCCUUUGAUAUUGCUGAUGGUUACUUCUUCAUCUCCAGAUGACCAAACUUGAUUCUCUCUUUUGACAUGGGACACGUAUGCCCUAGCCUUUUCCUUUUCCUCCAAUUCUUGAGCCAUUCUAAGGUAGAAUGCUCUGUCUUUCACCACAUUUGCUUUGCAAUCCUUUGCAAAAGGAUUCUCUUUGUUGCACUUGUGACAUAUUACAACAUCACUUUUGUCUUUUGAGGGGGUACCGGAGUCAGAGGUUUGAAUGGAUUGCGGUGCCUCCUUUGGUUGAGUGUUUUUAGAUUGCGGUGGUGGAUGAGAACUUUUAGGAUAAUGAGAGUGAUUGUUUUGUGAGUUGAAGUUACGGUUGAAAGGAGGUUUGUUGAAUUGUUGAUUCUUGCGAAAAGAGGGAGGUGGUAGCUGGUUGAACUGUUUACUAACAAGAGCAAUAGCCUUUUGAAAUUCUUCUUCAUCAUCAUACUCUGAGUCGGCUUCGUACGACUGCGGUGUAGUAUCAUACGAGGGAGAGUAAGAUUGAUUAUGUGGAGCUUGUGCUACAAAAGCAAGUGGUCCUCCGAAGUCAGCACAGUCUUUGAGUACGGUGGAUUCUUGUGCUUGCAGUUCCCCAUAGAGCUUGUAGAGAGUCAAAGAAUGAAUCUUUUUAUCCCCUUAGACUAUCAUCUUAGUAGUAGUCCAAUGUCUUCCUAAACCGUUGAGAAAUUGAAGGUUUGUUUCAUGGUUACUGCGGAUGGUGCCAGCAUUCGAUAACUUGGUGACUAUUAGAUUGAACCUUUUGAAGGAGUCUUCUAAACUUUCGCCAAUAUGAGCUUUGAAGUUGUUGAAUUCAUUGAGUGCAGUUGUGAGCUUCUUAUCUUGAGCUUCUGAGCCUUCGUACAAAUUCUUGAGAACAUCCCAGAUCUCUUUUGCUGAUUUACAGUUUAUGAUAAUGUCGAAGUUGUCAGGAGCAACUCCACAAGAGAUUUCAUAAAAAGAAACAGCAUCAUUUUCCAUUUUAUCGAGAUCAUCUUUGGUGGGACAGUUCAUGACUGGUUGUCCUCCUCCUAGUCUGGUUGUGGUGCCAUCAGUUUGAACUGGUGUAAGAACAAGGACAUGUGGUCCUUCUUCAACAGAUCGUCAUACAUCUUUACCAAGUCUCCUUAAGUACCUUUCCAUUCUCUGAGACCAGUGAUGGUAUUCAUUUGCCACCAAUAUUGGAGAUCGAUUAGAACCACCAACAUUGUUGGAAACAUUCAGAGAUAGUGCUUGUGCCAUUUUCCUUGUUUUUUUUGUUUUAAGAAAUGAGCUUCGGUGGUAUAGAAAGCCCUUUAAAAAUCGAGUUUUGUUUUUCAAAAAGCAACCAAUAUGUCUAUGAUACCAAUUGUUGAGAGAAAAACUUGAGACACACUUGAACAAACGUUAGAACAAGUAUAGUUGCGGAAUAAUUAAUCUCAAAAGAUCUAAAAGCUCAACAAUAAUAAGUUAACGAGUUAGAUAGUUAGAUAGUUAGUUGCGGAAAUGUAAGGAAAUAUAAAUGACAGCAGGUGAUAGAUCAUGUAAACACAUAAGUUGAUUCAUAACAUGGAAUGCAUUCAAACAAAGUUAGUGAGUGAGAUCAAGCUUAGUGAUAAAUCACGAAUGACUUGCUCCGAAGAGGAAUAAUAUUCAGUUAUGUUCUAGAGGAUUUUGAAAGUAAGAAGAGAUAUGAGAUGCGUAAUAGAGAGAUGUAAUUGAUGGACUUGAAGAUUGUUCAGAUAGAUAUUUUAAACUAUGAAAGGAUAAGCUCUAUAUAUAGAGACUCAAGAAUUACAUUUGAUUAAUUCUCUAAGAGUAGCCAUGCAAGGCGUACUGGACAAUAGAGAGUAUUACAGAAAAGAUAGAUAAAUUUAAACUAAGUAAGUAAGACUGCGGUUGGAUAGAUGACUUCGGAUGCAACUGUUGAUGAGAGCUUGACUACGGAUCCUUGAGGGCUGUGGUAGACUAAGUUAAGAGGGUCACUUCAUGAUUCAACAAAACCAGAGAAUCAAAAAUCCACCUGGGGUUGAACAUACCUACUUCUGGAGAGGUUCACCGAUCGAUAUCUGCCCAACAAACCUGAAAACAGCAGUCCGGACAGCAACUGAUAAAACCUUCAAUGCCUGACACUCAACUUGAGAAGUCCCAAUUCUCCCCCACUUAGGGUUCUAACCACCACUCAAUGGUUAGAAAUCAACUCAUAACUCAAACCGGCUAAACCAGGUACGUUUUUUUUCCUGACCAUGGAAUGGAUAACGUACGUAAAACGAUCCUCCUGCUACAGAUCAAUCAGAACCCAAGAGAAACCUGAAUUUCAGCUGAAGACUUCCAGCGUGCAGAAUGACAUAUAACGACCCCCAAUAACCCAAAGAAAUAACAGAUAGUCAACCCGGAAUAUAACUUACCCAAUCCAACAAUAUACCAACACAAUACAAUUCUCGAUACAACCCCGAAGAAUAUAGGGGAUCACACACCCUCAAAACAUCCAAAGAAGUCCUGACCUCCUCCUCCCGAGUUACCCUAACCAACCUGAGGUCACGCAAGAAACUCCCCUUCGAUCCCAGGUGACAUGAACUAAUCCCUGUUUACAAUCCAAAUGACAAUCCGGCACCCGACCUACCCGAGAAUAUGGUACCUAACUCUCCUUGCAAGAUACUCAUGCCAAAUCGACCAACCUGCGCUCACCAGUGCUGGAAUACUUUCACCAACCCCUGCGACCAACUGACCCUGAGCUGGAAAUACAACCUGACCCAGAGGUCACAAGCCUGCUCACUCCUUUGAACUCAGAAAACUGAAAGGGCACAACCCUUGCCCUCGAUAACAACAUUCCAAUCCAUCAAUCAACCCUUCUACUUCCAGCUACAAAACUCGAGCUGGUCAUCAUUAUCACUCCCUUCCUAAUCCCCGCGACUCACACCCUAGCCUCGAGCAAAACCCUCGAAGCCUCAAAUCCAGAAACUCCUGUGACAACCUCUCCUGCUCAAUCGCCAAAUGUAACGAGUACGGAACAUCUCCCUAAUCCCAAGUAACUGCAGCUCUCUACUCAUCAAAAUACGUCCCAGUAAUAAGUCUCCACCAAUCCUUCGCCCCGGACCUCAGCAGGUUCAGAGCGCACCUGACCUCCUGGUCAGCAGAACAUGAACAUGUGAAGCAAUAUCCCUCCACAUCAGACAGCCACCUAAUGGCUACAAUCGGGUCUUGAACCCCAUCAAAAGUUGGGGCUUCGUGUUAUCAAAGUCCCGAUACUGGAAAGCUCGAAUGGCUCCUCCCCUGCCACCGUUACAGUUGUUGUAGCUGUCGCGACAGCUGUCUCGGCAAUGGCGGCAUAGCGAUCAUCAAAAUACUUAACCAUGGUAGUCUUGAUAGACCCAAACAUCCUCGACAACUAUCCCCGGACAAUCUCGAUCACCUCCUUCUAGAUGAUCUCCCUAACACGAUCUUUUGACAAUACUAGACUAUCCUGGCUACCAGCCCCCGAUCCAUACCCGGAUAUGGUCUCAAGACGUCUCGUAACCACCAUUAUGAUAAUACCCCAGAAAGAUCUCUGAUAGUCCAUAUAAUAAAAGGGAACCAACUCCCAACCAAACCCUAGGGGUUGUCACUUCCUUGACAUGCAUAUGGAUCAUGUGCUUCCAGUAGUACGGGCCCAUACUACCUUCCACACCUAUCCAUAUUUGUCCCAAGUAUCACCACAACACCCUAACAAUAUACAUAAACAUAGCGAGCACUCAAUCAUCACCCCUAUAGGAAUGCUAAAUAUCUCAUAACUAUCCUUUCGGCCUCUCACAACACACCCAUGAAACUUCAACCAACCAUGCAGCACUAGAGUAUGCUAGUCACAUAUAACGUUGGACCUUAUAGACUUUCAAAUAUCUGAUCCUAACCUAAUCCCCCAAUCAAACAAGAAUAGAACAUAAGGCCAAACCAAACAUUCUCAGGCUAUAAGAUCUUAAUUAUGUAUAACUAUGAUGCAUACACUAAGCAACUACAGUAAUGAUGUCAAUCUCAUAUAAGGAAAACCCAAGGCUAGCAGGCAUCAUAUAAUCAGACAAUUUCUAUCAUGCAAUUCCUGAAGAUUCCUAGCCUAUCUCUAGCAUGUUGUUCUAUCACAUCAUAACAUCAAAUAACAGUAUGGUAUUUUGGGGUCUAUCCGCGAGCUCCGGCUGAUCGUACACUUGCUUCCUCCUUCAUUAUUUGAAAACCAUUUGAAAAUCCUUUUUAAAAUAUUUUUCCUUAAUUUGAGAUUGGAUUCACACAAUGUUCCUCCAAUUCACUCAAACCAAGGCUAUGAUACCAACUUGUGACACCCAUAAAAAUCAUGCCAAAUUCGAACUUUUUUUUAAAACGUUUCAAAACCAUUAAUCAUUACAAACUUGUUUUCAAAAUGUAUAAUAUCAGAGUUUUCCCAGAAACAUAAACAAAACAUGAGGAGUUGUACGAUCAUGCCUUUGCCUUGUCGUGAUCCUCUGAUGUACCUGAAACAACAAACUGAAACUGUAAGCCCGAAAGCUUAGUGAGUUCCCCCAAAAUACCAAUACCAUAAAACAUAUCAAUAACAUAUAAACAAACAGCAUGCAAAUGAGCCUUCAGCCUGACUGGACCACCCCGUAGUGCCUAUAGCCUAUCUGGACCGCACUCCGAGCCUUCAGCACGUCUGGACCGCCUUGCAGGGCCUACAGCAUAUCCGGACCUCUCUCCGGGUCUUCGUCCUGACUAUACCGCCUCGCAGGGCCUAUAGCCUAUUCGGACCGCCCUGGGUAUGUUGGCCUACAGCACGAAGCAGGACUGCCUCAACCCAACCCCAAACAAAACAAUCAUGUGCACAUGGAUAUCAUAUAAACAAUAGCAUGCAUACAACAGUCAGACCAAUCUAACAGAUCACAAAACAUAGCAACAAUCUUAUAUACCAGGAACACCGACCUAACCAGAUCACUAAGCAUAGCAUAACACCAUCCUAACUACCAGGAUGUAAAUCAGUAAGCAUAUCACACAAUAAUCCGAAAACAAUCCAUAAAGGGCCGGUCUUGGUGCCUUAGACCCUAUUGAUGUAGUGAAGAUAACUCACCUGGAUCAAAGAGUUGAAUCCCAUCAGUAGCUAUCACCAACCACCUGAUACCAAUCAUGGUCAAACCUCAGUCUGAGACUAAUAUCCAUACACUAAUAAAAUAAAACUUAUGCUUCAAUGGACCUAAAUAUGGAUCACACUACACAUGAUCAUUUUAAUUAUCGUGAGAAUAUUCAUUUCAAUUCAAAGUGGGAUAACACCGAAUCUUAGAGUCUAGCAAACUACAAUAAUUAGAUAAACCCCAUUUACAAGUUGUGAGCCCAUGAAACUUUAUUAUUAUUAAUCCAUUAAAAAUUAUAUAUAACAAGAAAUGAAGUCCAUAAUAGCAACUAGCCCACAUUCUAUAAUAUAGAGUUGAGUCCAUUUAGAUUUCAUUAGAAUUCUUAAGCCCAACAGAUGAAUAACCCAUCAUGACAAGGAGUCCAAAGGUUAAUGGCCCAUAUCAAAAUAACCUAAUAUAGCAUGAUCAGUCCAAAAGCAAGGAGACCCUUUACCUAAGUGAUCUUCCUCCGCCGCCUGAAGGUUCCCUGUCGACGUCACCUCCAGCGAUGCAGCUUCACCUGUGCAGCCUCCUUCUCCGGCGACAUCUCCCUCUUUCUCUUUAUCUUACAUCAUCCUCUCAAAUCUCCCAUUACCCGAUAUCCUUGAAAGCAUUAACAAUGAAUUACUUAUUUUGGCGACAGUAAGGCUGAGAUUUCAAGGGCAAGACGAAGAUUAAGGACUCCGUUAACCACCACCGCCAUUGACGGUUUAUCACCGAUGACAUUGCUCACCAAAACCAUUGAAUCCUUUCUGAACAUCACUAUCUCAACUCCAGCAAAACCCAUUCCCGUUCUCUUUAAAGGCACCAACAAAAGCUUCCAUUCCCGGCGACGAUUCCUUAUACACUGACGCCGGCGGUUCUAUCUCAUUCCCAUUAUCAAGUUUUAAUCAUUGCUCACAUCCCGUUCUCUACAUGUUGGUCAAGAGGAGCUCACCAUGAACCCAAAUGGCCCUCCGACAUGUACCUCACCACCGAAGGUUGAGCUCAUCGCUCAAACCAUUAUGAUGCCUCACCGAUGGUAUUGCCCUCUCCAACGGUGCCUUCAUCUUCGGCGAAGUGAGCUAGACCCGCCUCCUAACAUCGACGUCUCAUCGCCUUACUGUCUCUCUUUAUUUUUCUCAAUAUCAAUCUCUCUCUGCCUCUCUCUUCAGCCGCACACACACACAUGCUUACCCUCACUAGUCUAGGGUUUUUGGGUUGAUUACAUACAUGCUAGGAUGCGAUUACCACCAAUGGGAUGAAGGAUCUCCUGCCUCCCACGAUGUCGUGAUGCAGGGAACAGGGGAGCAGAAGUUUCCUAAAUUGAUAGAAACAACACCCAUAGUUUAGACUUUUGAUAGUUUUAACCCAUGCUUGAUUUCCUCCAACUUAAGAAGUUUCUGAAAUAGCAUAAAACCCCCCUAGAACUUUACAAUUUAGCUUUAUUGUUAUUAUUCUAAUCUAAUAAAUCCCAUUUUAAUUAAUUUACUCCUUUAAACUAUUAUAAUGCCACACUAAACGAUUAAAUCCAUCCAAAUAAUUAUUUGCGCCCUUUUUGACUAUACUCACCAUUCCGUAAAGUUUACUUUCUAAUCAUUCAACCACCCAUGCUAUUUCUUAAACCUCCCUUUUCUCUCUCUCUCUCUCUCUAUAUAUAUAUAUAUAUAUAUAUACACACACACACACACACACACACUCAAGUUANNACGGGAUGUUAGUUAGUAUUCUUGUAUAAGUAUAUAAAGAAGAGAUAAGGCCAAAAACUAGCUAUUUUUUUCUUGUGAAUUCUAUCCUCUUUUCUCUUACAAAACGACAAGCAUGGAGCUCACUUUCCCUCUCCUUCUUCUUAUGAUUUGGUGCAAGAUUAAAGGUCAUAUAUGUUUCUUCUAUUUAAGGUUUAUUUGGUAUAAAUCUUAAAGCUUAAGAACAACAUGUAUACAAGUAAAUACUAACAUGUUUUUGUGGAUUAUCCUUGCCCGAUGGAUACUUGUAGAGAGCUUGUCCUUUAAAGCUUCUUGUCACACUUCAUCAACUUUCAAUCUUUCAUGAGAAUCAAAGUCUUCCAAGGCUAUAUAAUUUUUCCUUCUAUGCUUGUUUUAAUCUUUCCUAAGUUUUGUAAAAUGAUCAUUGGUGGGUAAAUGAUUUUAGUUUAUACAAGCAUAAAAUUGCUUCUGUUGCUAAACUCAUAGUUUUGACUAUCUAUUUUAGACUAUUUUUGAAUAAAACCCAGCAGUACAUUGGUAAAUAAAAGAAAUAUCAAUGUAUUUUUAUUUAAUUCUAUCACAACAUUGUACUUUCGUUUGUACUAAUUAAAGCAUUGUACUUUCAGUGAAUAAUAUGUCUAGCUAUAGUAGUGCAAUGCUAAAUAAAUGUGAGUAAAAAUAUAUUGCUCUAACCUACUACUAAAACUAUACACAAGUGCUUUGUUAUUGCUAUUACCACCGUCGAUUUAGGCAUAGGGAAGGAAAGUCCCAUGACCCACCUAAUUUUAUAAUUAAAUCAAAAAUUAUACCAAGAAAAUAAUUUAGGACCUACCUUGAAUUUUUAAGGAUCUACUUAUAGUGUUAGACGGAAAAGGAAGGAAAAUAGAGGUAUUGACUGUAGACAAUAAAAGGCAAAACAUAUUUGGUGGCAGAAGGAGUCCCACAUCGACUCUAAGAAGAAAUUGGUAGGGGGUUUUCCAUUAUAAAUAAAUGUUGUCUCUUUAACACUUCCACACCUUGAAGAUUAUUAACAAUUGGUUCAGACCAAAUUUACUCAAAAUUUAUGUUGGUUUUAGUAAAAAAAUAAAGGACCGGUUUGGGCUUGGUCAUCUCACCUCAAGUUUCUAUAUAUGUUGAACCAAUUAUUUUUUUUGGUUGAACCAAAUUUUUUCUUGAACCAACAUAGUUCAACCCAAAUAGGGAACAACGUGAGUGUGUUGAUAUUGUUAUUAUGUUUGUGUGAUGCUUGUAGAUGGGUAAAAGAGAGUGAGCCUCGAAUCAUAUUUCCUUGAAGUUCUUAUUCUCUUCAAGCUACUUGAACCAUCAGUUGUACUAAAUAUGCAUUCGUGAGUGUGUUUAUAUUGUUAUUAUGUGUAUGUGAUGGUUGUAGAUAGGCAUGAGAGAGUGAGCCUUAGAUCAUUUUUGGUUGAAGUGCUUGUUCUCUUCCUGACCCUUUGAUAGUCAUUGCAUUUCAUUUUGUUCUUCCGAGGAAGAUUAAUGCAUUUCUUUGUCGGUUGAUCUUAUGUGGAAUUUUUGGAAAUAUUAGAUCAUUUUUACUUUUACUCAACCCUCUCAAAUAAUUCAAGCAUCCUAGUUUAAUUUUUUCAUCUGCUAUUUCAAAACAAUGACUGCAAUUUCUACUAGUGUUUUUUUUGAAGAAGAGUCUUUAAUGUCGACCUUUACUUCUCAGUCAAUCAAUUAUCAAGAAAUUUUAAAUCCAUCCAAGUAUCCUAAGCAAAAGAGGUUCUAAUAAGAAUUGUCACUCUCGCAUUCACUACAAUAGGGGUCAACAAAAUGAAUGACAUGGUUUCAUUUGAACUUCGAUGUGGGAAGCACAUAACCUUUUCUAAGCCAAAAUUUUCAAAACUUUUGUAUCUUCUAACUGAAGGACCAUAUGUUAUUCCUACAAGUCAAGACCUCAUUGAUGUGUUUAACUCUAUGUUUCAGGAACCUUAUAUGAUGAGGGUGUCUGAAUUCAAAAAGAACAAACUUCCUGGUGUUUGGAAUCUUCUAUUUGGUUUCAUUCUUCAUGGCUUAACAUGUCGUACUUGUGUAUUGGAUGCAAUAGAAAAAGAAUUAUUGGCUCUUUUUAAUAACAUGGGUUGUAUAUAGGUGUGAAUGUUGAUUUUGCUAUGGUGAUUUGGAGUGAAUUUUUUGAUAACAUGAAAUUUUCAGAAAGGGAAAAUUAACUUUUUACAUAUGGAUUUUGGGAUUUAAUAGUUUCUCAAGCUUACGAAUUUCACAAAAUUCCAAUUGAAGAUUUUGAUGUUUCGAAGAUGGUAGUAUAUAAAAUUAGUAUUCCAACCAACGUUGAUACGUCUUAUUUUUCUUUUGUUGGUCAGAUUCCUAAAAAAAGUUGAGUUUUAUUAUAUCUACAAAUAAGAUUUUGGAUCAAUAUCUUGUUCAACCAACACCUCAAGAAGCAUACGUUCAGAUUACAAGAAUGACAACCACUUGGGUUGUGGUGAAUUUGUAAGGCACGUGGAAGAUAUGGUGGAUAACCUAUUGACCCAAGUUCAAAUCGUGGCACUAGUGAACCUUUUGGCCAUGGAGGUUCGUCUGUAGUGACUUGAGGGCAUCAGACAUAACCUCAUGUUUGCAGCAGGGGAUUAGUCAGUUCACAAAAGUUGGCCCGAAAACCUUCAAUUGGGAAAUUUCACUUUCCAAAAAAAAAAAAGAUUCAUAAGAAUGAAUGUGAAGAAACCAAAAUCUCCAUUUGUUAAUCCUAAACCUAAAGUUUUGAAAAAAUCAAAGUGACUCAAGAAGCCCAAAAUUAUUGAAGAACCAAUUAUCUAAGAAUAUGACGAGGAUCGACAUCAAGGUGGUUCAAAUUUUGAAGAAUGUAUAUUUAUAACCACAACUUGGACAACUGUCAAAAAAAAUUAUUGGAGAAAAUUCGGAUAUUUGUUGCUACAACUCCAUCAAAACUGCAUUGGUUUAGACAAUUCUCAUUUCAGAUUCCAAUGUCGAGAAUCCUAUUUUUGAACCUUAUAUUUAUUGAUCCAAUGUCUAUCUCUGAAUCUCUGACCACUUCUGAAGAAGAAGAAGAAGAAGAAGAAGAGGUUGAUGGAAUUGUGUUUACGGGCAAGAAAGAUCCUUCUUUUUAUGAUAUUAUCAAUUAUUUUGAGAUGGCUUCUCUUGGUGAAGGUUUAGUUGAUUCUGGUCAAGAUGAUGACAAAGAUGAUAAUCAAUUGAUGUUUAGAAGAGAUUUUAAGAAAUUUAAUCGUGAGAUUAAUGUUGUAUUACGAUCUCUUGAUUCCAAUACUCAGUCUGCCCCAUUUGAAUCAAGAAAAAAGGUUUGUUGAUUGGUUAGUCAUUCUUUCUGAGCAAAACAAAAAGAUUGAUUCAUUAACGAUUGGUUUUAAUCUUUUCAAAGCUCACAUAAAUAAUAAAACAUAGUCCCAUAUGACGAAGGUACAAGAAGUUAUGUUUAAUGAGUGCAAAAAGCUUUUUGAUGAAAUCUCAAAGAUGAGAAAUGAGAAUCAGAAGUCUUUAAAUAAGGCAUUUGGUGAUCUCAAAACUGAACAUGAAGAUUCUCUCAAAAGUCUAACUAAAUCUCUUACUGAAGAGUCCAACUAGUUAACCCCUUCCUAAUUAACAAUUAUCCAUCCAUAUCGCUUAAUGAGACUUUCCAACUCAUUCACCAUACGUUUCUUUAUGACGACCCUAUAUUUUUUCAUAUUAGAUCAAACAAUCUCCUUUAUACUUUAUCUAUCAUAAACCCUUAUUAUUUUCUCUUAAUCGAUUAUAAACAAUUAGUUUGUUGACAUUGGCAAUGUACAUGAAGGUUGAUUUGUACUUCCAAAGUAUUUUUAUCAGGUAUCAUAUUAUGUGUUACUCUGAUUGAAUACAUCACAUGUUUGAGGAUGUCGAUUUUUCUGGAAUAGGCAAGGACGAAUUCAUGGCUUUUCUUGAAAGAUUCACUCACGAGAAAUGUGGGAAUGUGUACUAUUGUUUAUCGGAUCUUUACUUUCCUGAAGGAUUAAGGAUAAUAACUAAAAAAUUGAUUAUUGCGACUUCACAUGGUUUUGGUUGUGUACUCCUUAUGUAAAUAGAUCACAUUGGUACGAAUAUACAUGAGUGGCUUGAUGAUGACAAAGAAGUGGUUUUCAAUCCUUAAUACAACCACUCGGGUGUAGGGGAUUUGCCUAUAGAUUUUCCAGGAGAUAUGAAUGUUGACAUUGAAGUAGAUGAUUACAUUCCUAUUAACAAGACCUUCAGUGAUGAUUUCCUGAGUAAGAUUUUCUCAUAGGUGAAUGCAAUCCUUGAAAAUCCACCUCAUGAGGAUCCAUAUCUUUAGAUGGAUGAGAUUGAGCCAUAACUUGAUAUGUAGACAACCUUUAAUGAACAUGUUAACCAUAAAAAGCAGAACCAUAUGCUAGUUAUGAGAUUUGAAAGUCCAAAACAAUUAAACCAUAUGCUUUUUUAUUCUUUUAUUGAUGGGUAUCAGUUAUGCUACAAAAAAUACUUUUGGUGAAAUAUUGUUCUGGAUAGUGCAAGUUUAGGAUUUAGGCUUUAUUGAGGAGUGAAGAGAACUCUUUCCAUAUUAAGUUAUUCAUGAGCAUGCUUGAAAUUUCAAGAUGGGGUUAACUGUUAGUUAUUCUUGGAUUAGCAGCCACUACAUUAUUUCAGCAAGUUUUACAUUUGUUUUAAAGGAUUCGGGAAAGGUUGGAGAGGGGGAUGGAGAAGAGUCAUCAAUCUGGAUGGAUGUUUUUAAAGUGUUUCUAUAAUGGAGAGUUAAUAUAUUUUGUAGGAAGGGAUGUUAAUAUUCAAAUUUUCCUCAUUGCAUGGGAAAUUGUAUGUGUAGAAAACAAAGAGAAUUGGAAAAGGUUUUUUGAUAACCAUAUAGAUGAUUUGGAAUGCAUGCAAGGUUUUGCUUAUGAAAAUACAAAGACUGGUUUUGAAGAAAAAAACUUCACGGGGACAUUUUCUAUAAAUUACAAAAUUACAAGGAAUAAAUCUACUAAUAUCCAAAAAAAAUGUGGCAAAACUUCAAUAUAAAAACUCUAGUGGCGAAAGUCCAAAAAUCCAAUAAACUAUUGGUCAAUAAUAAUUGUACAUAUAGUCCCCUAUUUACAUUUCAUUUUCCAAAUGUAAAAAAUCCUUUUCCAAACAAAUGUCUUUUUUAAACAUGAUGUACAAGCCCCAUAUGCCCUCGGGACUCUCAUAUUGAAAAAAAAUGAAGGCAAAACCCAUUUGUGGCAAAGAAGAGGCCACAUCAAGUGUAUUGGAUUUCCUUUUGCUUUACUUGCUCCAAUCACAUACUCUUUAUACCCAAGCAAAUUUAUUUCCCUUUAAGCAUCAUGUACAAGCGUCAUAUGCUCAUUAGUUUCUUCUUCAAUAAAUUGGACUUUUAAUAAAAGAACCAUAAGAACUUAAUGGUCACAUGAAGCUCCCAAUUUAGCAUUCACGUAACAUAUACAACUGACACACCAAUUUAUCUCUAGAAAAGCAUAAUGUACAAGCUUGAUAUACACAUACAAUCUCCACUUCAAUUAAAUUGGAAUUUUAAUGAUGGGACCAAAUGUACACUGAACACUGUUCAUUAAAAAUUGAAGGGGUGUAAUUGAAAAUCAUGGAAAACUACAAUGGCGAAACUGAGAAAGACAAUGCUAUAUUAUUUAUAAGAACUUUUGGUUUAAUAUAUAAUAUAAUAAAUUGCAUGUAUAUUAACAAAAUGUGAUAUUUGUAUAAGGUAUACUGAUGUGCACAAAGUGACUACUAGUCUUAAAUUUAUAACCUAACAAACUCUUACUAACUAUGCACCUAUAGGUAGUGUACCAAGUCAGAUUAUAGUAUAGCUCAGGUAAGUCGGGUGUCAAUCAUAAAGAACGAAAUUCAAUUAAAUAAUCAAUUACUUCUAGUUAAAAUAUGAAACAAAGUAUGAUUAGGGGGGGGGGGGGGGGUUACUGAUUUUUCAAGAUCAGAAUAACUUAAUAUCACCUAACAAGUAAGCAAGCAACUAAAACAAAGUAACUUCAAAAAUUAAAAGAAUACUUCUGCCUAGAUCCUAUUUUUCCUUCUCCUAUGGUUGAUUUCUAAUGGAUAAAUUAUAUUGAUUACCAAUUUGCUAGCUAUUAUGAUCAAAUAUCUAAGCCUACCAAUUUAUGAAUGACAAAGCAAUGAUCAUGCACAAGUUAAACACCAAAUUGAUAAUAGCACAAUUAGGAUAUGAAUUAUAUUAGUUACUCUUUUAGGAUCAAGUUAAGAAACCAAGCACUAAUUAAGACUAUAUAUGCUCUGUAACAUAGUUAAGUUAAUAUAUUUAAUUACUUAAUCUAAGAUGUGAUUAAUCCUAUCUCUAUUUAUCUAAUGAUCAUAAACAGUUAUGAGAUAGAUUCACGCGCUUAAUGUGAUCAAUUAACACACAAAAUCUAAUUCAUAAGCAAUAUAAACUAGAACUAAAAUAUGCUAGGGUUUAUAAAUAUCAAACACAAGUAAAAUAAAAUAUAAUCAUCCAAUAUUGAAAUCAACACAUAUGGAUCGAGUUCAUUUUUACCAAAUAGAAGUAAAAGGUGUUUAGCCUCUCAUUGUAGCAAAAACACAAUACAUCUAAGUAAAAUAAGCUAGACAUGAGUAUAAUAAGCAAACCAACUACAUCAAAGUUGAAUUCUUAUAAGUCUUCUUCAAUUCUUGAGCUUCAAUUGAAUUUAGAUCUUCUUCUGGGUUUCUAAGGGUUCUUAGUCACAAUAAACCUCAGAAAACCGAAUGCCUCCCUCUAAUUUAGACCUAAUGUCUGGGAUUUUAUAAUUAUCUAAAUCUGACCACCAGAUUGUGGUUUACCGCCACCACGACGUGGUCUUCGAGUAAAUCCCAUGUAUGCCAAGUCAGCCUGAUGGGUUGCGAAUAUUCCAUUCAACACGCCGUGUUGGAGAACACCACGACCUGGUCAUCCGUCAUCUUUUCUUUUUCUUUUGUUUUAGCUCUUGUUUCCUGCUUCCAUCUCCUUGUAUGCUUCCGUUUUGUCUUGAGCAAGUCUUUGCUGCUACAAAAUAUAUUUUAAUUAUAAUAAGUAUCUUUUGUUCCAUAUUAAGCAUAAUUGUAGCUAAAAGUAUUAGAAAUAUGCAUUAAAUAUGUAGUUAAUUAUGCACAUAUCAAAAUACCCCACAUAAGCAAAACUGAUUUUAUUAUCAUCAUAUCAAGACUUUAGCUACCAACAUCGCACAAGACAAUCCAUUUUGAGCCUCUCCAUUACUUCAAGACCGCAAUGCAUGUAUUUUUGUCCAAAUUUUCCUAAGAACUUAUCCAAUCCUAAAUACUCACAAUCUUCAUAAACACUUUCCCACUUAUUUUGAACAAAACUCAUUUUAUGCAUCCCUCCGAAUCCAUCCCUAUAAAACUUUCUUAACCUCAAGGUAUUUUUGGUUAAACCCCAAGCAUACAUAUGGAAAAAUAACCUAGAAAAUAAAAAUACAAUAGGUAAUAACUUGGUAAAUUUCACCUUAUUCUUGAGUCUUCGAUUUAUUUGAAAUUUUCUCUAACUUUUGCAACUUUUUUUCUUUUUCUAUUUUUUUCUUUUUGCUCUUUUUCUUACUUUUUUCACUCAAAACUAAAAAAACAUAUGCUUAAGCAAGGGAACUUAACUUUAACCCUUAUUGGUUAGAUGUAUUAGUCUAAGUGCAAUGACUACAUAAGCUCUCCUGGAUACAUUUCUGGUACAUGAUGCUAAACAUUUGUGGCCCUCAAACUAAGCAAGGUCGUAUUUUUGUUCCAUGAUUUGGAAGGCAAACAAUACCUCUAUUGAACCUCUUUUUAAUGUAGCAAUAAAGUGAAUCCAAAUGCUAAAUCUUAUAGAAUUUACAUACCUUAUGGAGAAGAACCCCUCACAUGGUCCAAAAAAUUCUAUCAAAAAUAUAGGAUGCGUCAUGUUUUUGAAAAUGGAUUAUUUUAGAGCUUCAACAAUGUUAUUAGGGAUGCAAGGAAAAAUCCAACCAUCAAAAUCUCAUAGGUAACCAUGGUGUAUGUCAUAGAGAUGAUCUUCAAUAUAAACGUAAAUGGUAGUACAUGGCCUGAGUUGAAGCUAUGUCUAUCUAUAGCACUACUACUCAAUGGGUUACCAAUUGGAAAAGGAUAUAUGUUAAUUUCUAAUCCUUAUCUUUAAAUGUUUAGGGUAACUUUAUAAUAUGGUCUUAUAUGCACUCGUAAGUAUUACCAAAUGGUCUUAAAUAAUUUGAAACAAGGAACUUAGUAGAGACAUAGGUUGUGGACUUAGAUAAAAAAACAUGCACUUGUAGAAUUUGGCAACUCAAUGGUUAUGGAUGUGUGCUUUAAAUAGCAACAAUCUCUUUUCUAAAUAGAGAUAUUAAUGCUUAUAUGGACCUAAUGUACCUUAUAACCUUUUACAUGAACACUUACAAGUAUUCGUUGCAUAAGAUGAAUGGUAGCAAUAUGUGGCUAAGUAAUAAUCAUACCACUUUUUCCACCAUUAAAGAGAAGAAUGACAUGUAAACCUACAAUCAAUAGGAGAAGGAAUGAUUCUGAAAUAACUAAAAAAAUCCUAUGUCAAGGGUAGGAAAAAAAAAUUAUGUAGCGUUUAUAAACAACUUAGCCAUAAAAAGGCAUUUUUGCCCUCAAUCUAAAUAGGCUACCAAACUUACAGUGAAGAAAGGGAAAAAGGUAAGUGAAAAUGAGGAGCAUAUGCAAGAAGAAAACAGGGAGGAUGGUACGGAAGAAGAUAACAGGGAAGGUGAUGAUCCCCAAUAAGAACAAUCAAUAGAUAUGAUGAAUACAUAAGAGAGUGAAAAUAAACUAUGGGUUGAGGGGNNNNNNNNNNNNNNNNNUAAGUGACAGGACUAGAAUUAGGAUCACGAAAAGACCAAAAAGGAUUAUGAAUAAGAAACUAGCUAAGAGGGUUGAGGGUAAGAAUGGACAAGGAAACAAUGCUGAAAAACCGAUGUAUUUAGAUUGGGAUUUACGAUUGUUUCCAUUGGCAAACAUUUUUAAUUAACUUUAUGUUUUAAUGUGUUGUUAUUGUGAAACAUGUAAUAGUGGAAUAUUGAAUUUUUUAAACUCUGAAAUUGGUUAUUUUGGUACUUUAUUCUAACGGACCAAAUACUUCAAUUUGUAACAUGUUGGUAGUAUAUUUUACUUAAACCACACACAUAGGUACCAUAGCACCGUGAUCAAACGGUCUAAUGGAAAAUGGCACAUGAAGAAUAUAUUAUAACAAUCUUCGAUAAUAAUUACAUCACACACAUAUUAAAUCAUAAUGUAAGCAUAAUAAAUGCACCUAUUUUGCAUAUUUAUCUCAUUUCUAGCAUUUUCUUUAGAAGUUCAAAUAAUAUACUUUUACAUAUUUUUGGUUAUUUCUAGUCUAUCGGUGGAACGGUUUUAUUAGAACAUUUUAUGGUGGCUUUCAUGUGUAUCUGAAGAUUGUGAUUCAAUUUAUGGAUGUUAAGGAAGCUUGGGACAAAAUUUGGAACUAAAUGGAUCGGAAACGAAGAAUUUAUUAAAUUUAUGGAGGAUCCAAAUAGGAGGUUUCAUACAAUGCGUGUCAAAAUAGGCAUAAAAGAACACAUAAGGCGUGUUGAAUGGAAUUUGGGAGUUAACUUUGCUACACACGGGGCAUGUGGAUUUAGUACAAAUCUACAGAGAUCGUGUGAAAUCCAAAAUAGGCUAAAUUCAACAUGCUACUUUAAAAGACUUUCCGAUUAUGGCACCCUACUUUCCCUCCCACUCGGGGCGUGUGGAAUUAGUGUAAAUCCAUACAUGGAAUGUGGAUCCCAAAAAUUGCCUUUUGGCAGUUUUCGUAAUGACACAUUUCUAGAUUUUUAGGGCUAUUUCACUCUCUUUUGCCUAAGAUGAAUUGGAGGCAAUUUUAUCAUAUGUUCUUGCUAGAUUUGAGUCAUCUUGUAAACAUUUCUCUUUUAAUUGCAAGUUGAAUUAAUAUUGUAAUUUCCAUUUCUAGACAUUGAAUUUCAUGAUUUAGCCAUGUCCGACUACAACCCUUUCAUUUCUGAUUUUGUAGUACGAUUGUGAUUUGGUGUUUUGUUCAUGAUUCUAUCUAGAACAUUGUAGUUUCGUUUUACCCUAAUGUUUGAUUUAAACUUGGUUCAUGUUGGCCACUACAAUUAGGGUUAAUUCAUUUUCGUUAUUCAAUUUAUGGAAUCUGUAAUCAUUUUAUGAACUGAAACGAAAGUACAAGCAUCAAUUGGUUCUAUGAUGGGAUUAAUUUGGUGUAAACUAAAAUUUCUUGUUUUUAUGCUUUCAAGCCUAUGAAAGUGUCAAACAUUGUUAGGAACAUUUAUAUAAAUCUUAGUGCAAUUUUUCCAAUCUAAUUUUGAACGCUUGUUUAGAUAAGGCUAGUAAGGCUAGGUUUAGUUUAAAGAGCUUAUGUUUAUCAAACACUAUGAUGAAUGGAAAAUGCUAGAGCGUAUUAGUGUUUUCAAGUACCAACUUAGAUAGAUCGUGACUUAAGUUUAUUUCAUGAUUGAAUUUCAUGGCACAUGAGUAUACUACAGGAUCGAAACUCUUUUUACUAUUAAGUUACAAAUAUUUACUUGCAUGUGCUUAGUAUUUAUUUUUGCAAGUUCAAAACAACUCCCUAUUUCGUGACUCGCGUACCUUAGGAAAAAUGGCAUAAACAUUGGUCACGUGUCUCUGUGGAUCGACCCAGUUUGCCUUGUACUAAUUUUUAGUGCAAAGUAACAGUGUUUUUUGGGAUCAUUUUGUACCCAUUUAUUUUUUGGUUUUGACAUCCUAAAUAAACAUUAACCACAUAUUAGCUUUCCGUUGAAGUGGGGGUAUAUCCAAAAAAACAUUUACAAAAUUACCUGAUUUCAAUAAGGGCUUCAUCAUCAUCACUACUAGGUUAUUUAGAUGUUGAUAAUGAACACAAAAGGUUGAUAUUACAUGUAAAAAAGGUUACCCAAAAAUAUAUACUUAAAGCUUCUAAACCUACCCCCACCUUAUAAUCCAUUGCUAUCAGUUGUUCAUGAACACAAAUAUCAAUAAUAAAACAAUGACUACGACAAUCAAGCAUAAAGUCAUAGCUAGAAACUUCUUUCUAUAACCACGAACUUCAUGCUAAUGAAACAUGAAUUCAACCUUACAAUUAGGUUGGUUUAUGGUUUCGAAGAUUUGGUGCUUGGACGCAAUUAGGAAAAAUGUUUUUUUAGAAUUGGGUUGUUUAAUCCCCAAUAUAGAUGUACAUUUAUACCAAGGGGACCUCCUGUUCACCUUAGGCUCCGUGUUUGGGUUAGUAGACAGCCUCAAUGAUAUCUAAAUGGAAACACAAGUUCCAUGUAAUCCACCUUAUUUUCAAAAAGAAAAGAUUAGGAUUGAUUUGGAACUAAUGGGGAUGAAAUUCGAAAACCUGCCAAAAAAACUGACCUAACUUCACUCCGCUAAGGUUUAAUUUUUGCUUUCAGAAGACAACGUUUUCCUUAUCUUGUAAAUAGAAGAUUGUCAACUCUAAUUCAGUGUACAACCAUUGGGGGUGACAUUUUGUGGCUUCCAAAGAAGGUUUUUGUCCAAAAACCCUUUUGUGCCGAUUUUGAAGGUGAAUAAUUUGGAGCAAAGUUUUGAGGAAUCGAAAUGAAAUCGUUAGAAUAUCGAAUCGGUUUGCUUACUAAUUGUGACAUCCCCAUUUUUCAACCCAAAAGACCUUUUCUUUAUGCUUAUUUUAAAAUAGAGUAUUCUUUACAAAUAUAGAAUUUGUCCCAUAAUAAAUAUGUGAGAUAAAAGUAUUUCCGAAGAAACACUUUUCAUUUAUUAUUAAAAACUUGGGAUGCCAUAAAUGAUACAAGAAACAUAAGCAUAAACAUAGUCAUCACAGGCCUUACAACAUCUUCUUAUACUAAUGGCAUACAUCUCCUCAAACCUCUCAUCAGAUCCAAACAUCACUAUCCAUGUACCUUUCUACCGUUACUAGUGAUACAAAGAAACUGAGUGGGUCAGGCUGGAAAGUCUGGUGAGUACAUAGGGUUUUCAACCCACAAUAAUAUAAUUGUUUUGUUUAAUUAUAUAUUUCACAUCAAACAAUUAAACCAUUUACCAAUCCUUUUUUUCUUAUAUAUAUUCUUCUCGAACAACUUGUCUCAAGUAUCAUCGCAAACAUCGAGUAGACAGUACUGGUUCAGGGAUUCCUCUGCGUACAUGUCAGUAAGGAAUAGAGUACAUCACAUGAACAUGUCACUCAUAACCUACAAGUUGCGAACCUACCUAUUAGAUUGUCUUGAAUAGCUCGUGGUCAUCAUAUAUACCCUAUUAGAUGACUACAUUGCACAUCUCCAGUAAAUUCAUGGCCUCUCUUCAUUAUUUUUCAUCUCUCAUCACCCAUCACUACCCAAUAUAGUAUCAAUAUGAAAAUACAUAUACUGUUAUAUAAAAAUCAUCUUGUAUUACUUCAUCUAACAUAAAAUAUCUUAAUCACAGAUAAUAAGCACAUAUAACAUUUAAUUAUCUUAAUACUUUAGAUCUAUGUGUAAGAUGAAAGUAACUACUCACUCACUUGUUAAAGUGGAUGACUUGUGAUUUGGGCAACACUUCACCUAAUGCCUUAGCUUUUCCUUUUGAAAGACCUAGGUAUAUAUAUCACUAAGCCUUAGUCUUUGUUUCAUAAUUAUUAUGACUAUAAUGACGAUUGUCUAGAUUCCUCAAUAAUCGCAAUGAAUAUUGAUCCGUAGCUGAUAAGGAGCAACCAGGUAAGAUCAUAUUAGAUAUUGUUUGGAAAUCUCACUUUAAACGCCUCACUAAAUCUAGCCUAGACAUCACCCCUGUAAGUAGAUCAACGAUUAUUAUGACAUGAAAGUACUGAUAGAUCUUGUUUAUAGGUUCAUAAUAAUGGUAAUGAACUUAAACAUCAGUUACACAAGUGUAGCUUAAUUUAUAAAGUUUCUAGCGAAAAUCGGGAAAUUACGCGGACUUAAAUCCGACCCGCAAGUUUCUAUUUGUUAGGAUCUCUAAUGAAACAGUCCCUCGAUAAAGUAGCUGAGAACUAGGGAGUACUGGGGCUAGGGGUGCAGGAGGGUUUCCAGAGGAUUUGGGGAUGAAUGCGUGAGAAAAUGAGCAAAAACGAAACAUAUUUGUCAGCUGGAAAAAGGGGCAUGUCGCACCUUUACAAGGAGCGCACCAUGCCUUACGGUGACAUCGUUCAUGUAGUUCGCUGCCACGUGUCACAUUCUACUUGGUCCAUGCUGCCCCUUCUAGAUGUGUAAACCAUGCCAACCUACCCUACGCGUCGCGCUCUUCGAAAAACUUCUAAAAAUCGUAUCUUUCUUAUACGAGCUCUGUUUUUGACGUUCUUUAUAUCCAUGUGUAGCUAUCGACGAGCAAUACAACUUUCAUUCAAACUCCAUUAGUCAAUUAUCAAUUUAUUAUUAAUUUUAUAUUUUUAAAACACUUACACUGCUAAAAACUGUAUAAAAAUCAUAACUCUUUCAUACGAACUCUGUUCUCGACUGUGUUUAUAUCAAUGAAAUUCUAUUUAUGAGAUCUUCAACUCUUGCUUAGAUUGUUUUCCUACAAUCAACCAAUUUUAAUUUCAGUUUCGUGUUGACACAACUGUGCUAACACUUUGAAAAAUCAUAACUUCCUCAUACGAAGUCAGUGGACGUCUCUAUAUGCAUGCUCUUGCUUUUAUGAUUACCAUGAAUUUUGUUUAGAUUACUUAGGUUGAUAAGCGACCUAUCUAUAAUUCACUUUUUAUGACACACAUAGUUAUGUCGGUUUAAUCGCAGAACUCCAAAGAAGCAUAACGUCUUCAUACGAAGUCGGAUUUAAGCGCUCCUUAUAUCCACAACAUAGUCAUUACGACUAUUACAUCUUUAGCUAAUAUUGUCUAUUAUAUCUUAAAUGUCUAGUAUGAAUCUGCAAGCAUUACAAUUUUCUCCCCUUAGGAUGAUUACGUUCCAAAAUCAUCAACAAAAUAGGGCUGGAUAAUGAUCCUAUGAAUGAAUUUUCCAUCUUAAGCAAUAACCAUAAAUCAUAUGUCUUUCCCAACGAGUAUCAGACUCUUGGACUUCUUAGCUGCUGGCUAUGCUCAAACAUGCAUUUGCUCUUUAUUCUCUAUUGGACCUUCAGUCCUAAACUUCAAGUUACAAACUUGAUCUUAAUCAGAGACUCGUUCUCUUUCUUAAUUUUGGGUUGUAGACUCAUACCAAGAUAAGUUCUUUACUUUGGCUAUCAUAUAGACAGAAUGUUCAUACUAUAAUGACCUUCCAUCACAGGUAGCAAAGGCUAGACUCAGGUCUCUAUGAGUCAAACUCUAGCAUGGAAGACACCUUCGUUCAUGUUCUAAUGUGAUAUAAUCACAUAAUAACAUGUAGUAUUUCUAGCUACAGGCUGCUUAGUAUUUAACGACGGCUGCAACACUUCUGCCGAUCACUUCGACUAUCUUUUCCUUCAAUCUUCUGACUAAAGUUGGAUACUACAACGAACAUGAUUCUCUAAACCGAGUAACUUACUUUCAGAUUUAUCUUAAUUGGAAUUGAUUCGUUAUGACCACUAGGGUCGACAUAUUAUUCUUUUUUUUUCAUAAUCACCACUAAAACGAUGAUAACGAUGAAAUUUAGAAAACUAAACUCAACUACUAGUGUAUUAGUAACCUUGCGACUCUUCCUGAUUCAAGUAGGAGUCCUAUGCUUCGAGUAAUAUAGUCCUCUACUACCUUUCACACCUACUCAUACUCGUCCCAAUAAGUUUCUCGCAGUUUUUCCAAGUCACCAUACAAGAUAAUCACAUAGCAACUAAACACAUUAAAUAGUAUAACAUAAAUAACGAUUGUAUAACUUCUUAAAAGCGAUUACAAUGUUAUUCAAGUUCACCAUACUCCAUGCCUCCUACAUUAGGCUACAUAUCAUAAUACUAUCUAUAUGGGAUGGCUACUUCAUAUCUUGUACUCCGGAUAAGUAGUUUCCUACUCUUAAUCUACUUCAUCUUCUACUGCCUCCACAGUCAUCUAAAAUGCCCUAGCCUUUGGAUUUGGCAGUACAUUUGCCUUUGUAGCUUCCUUUUUCUUUGGACAGUCCUUUGAAAUAUGCCCGCUACCUCCAUAUACGUAACAUUUCUUGUCAUCGUACGUACAAUCUUUGGAAUAGUGAACAAUCCUUCAACAUUUGUAUCAAGUCACUUCUUUGUCGCAUCUCCUAAAGUGCUUCUUCUUACACUUCUCACAUAAACUGGCUUCAUUGUUACCCCUAUACUUCUUAUCGUUGGGGCCAGAAUUUGAGAAUUUACUAUUCUUAUUAGAUUUUGAGAAUCCUUCACCCUUCCUCUUCUCGGCAACUCCAGCCUUGUCAGUGGUUCUUACCUUGAUCAUGUCUUCGACAGAUUUGGAAACCCAGAUGGCUUCCUUAAGAGUAGGUGCCUAACAUAUUGGCACAUUGUACUCCCAUGGUAGUCCCUUCGCAUACUUAUCGACUUUUGUUAGCUUGUUGGGUACAAGGCGCAAAGCGAAUUCCAUUUUUAUGUGAAGGCAUUGGUGUCCUCAUUAGCGAACAUGUUGGUCUUCUUCAAUGUCAGAAAUUGGUUCUCUAUCUCUAGCAUGUUUUGGGCUAAGUAGAACUUGUGUUUGAAGUGAACCAAGAACUUGUCCCAUGUUAGAUGCAAUGGAACGUUAGGGAUUAUGAUCUUUCCUAAUGUGUUCCACCAACGAACAACCCCACCCCUAAAUUGUCGCACAACAUAAGUGGUAUUGAACCUUGCCAUUGCAACCACAAGUUAUGAAGGCUAACUCUAUCUCAAAGAUCCAAUCCAUAACUGCAAUCGGAUCUUCUUUCACAUUAAAAGUCAAGGUUUGCAUGUAACACCCCGUUUUCACUCUUGAGUAACAUUUAAUAUAAAUCGGUUGUUUAUAAAUUUGAAAGUAGAAAUAUAUUACUUUUAACCAAAGUAAUCAUAAAAAAAUGUAGAAAACGCCAAUACGAAUUCUAUAGAUAUAUAGAACGCUUAAAUCUGACUUCGUAUGAAGAAGAAAUGAUUAUUCGAAAUUUUGCAUUCAACCCUAUAUGACAAAAAAGUGAACCAAAGAUAGGUUGCUUAUUAACUUAAGUAACUCAAACAAAAUUCAUAGUAGUCAUAAAAGCGAGAGCGUUCAUAUGUAGAACGUCAAAAUCUGACUUUGUUUGAGGAUUUUAUGAUUUUUCAAAGUUUCGCUACGACAGUGCGCACCACUAAAAUCAAAAUUAAGAUCGGUUGAUUAAUAGCCAAAACAAUCUAAACGAGAGUUGGUGAUCUCGUAAAUACCAAUCCAUCGGUAUAAAGAUAGUCAAGAAUGGAGUUCGUAUGGAGAAGAUAUUAAUUUUACAUAGGCUUUUGUAGUGUAUUCUUCAUAGACCGUUAAAUCUAAAAUGGAGCAAUAACUAGCCGAUGGAGUCUAAAUGACAGUUAUAAUACUCUUCGAUAGUUACGCGUGGAUAUAAAGAAAUUCAAAAACGGAGCUCAUAUGCGGAAGAUACAAUUUUUAGAAGAUCCACGAUUUUACUUCUAAGGGGUAACGCAACACCUUUAGGAUUGCCACACAUGGCACUGGCCUGGACCACCCACCCUACAUACCAAGCUCGACGCCCAAUGGAUUGGCGCGACCGCCCCUUGUGUUUCUAUAAAUAGCAGCCAUGGAACACUCAUUUCCUCGCACCUUCGCAAUCCUUUCCUCUAGAUUUCUUCUAAACUCUUUGGUCUUAAUUUCCUUAGAUUUUAAGAGUGUUUACUGAUGCCUUGACUUGCUAGCAGGCAUGGAAAAUACAAGCUUUCGGGUCGAAGUUCUGCCCGAUCAAUUUCCCCGUUCUCGCAAGAAACUUUGCAAGUUAAGCUACGCUUACUAGGAUUUUAGGGUAACUUAUAUUUAAGUUAAUAGUUGUUAUUAGGAAUCUAUAAGUACCAAAUUAGUCAUUAGUUCUAGUUAAAUAUUAUGAUUGGCCUACUUACAUAAAAAGUGUAUAGAAUGGUCAUGUUCGCUUGGUUGUUAACUAUUCCAAUUAGCCGUUACCAUUAUCCUUACUUUCUAUCCCUAAAGCAUCUAAUUUAAGGGACAUAGCCUAAGUAUUAUCAUCAGGAUGGAUAAUACUGCUUAGGGGAUUCCUCAUAAAUAUAUGUCAAUAAGGCAACCAUGAGGGGGAUGGAGUACACUUGGUGAACACAUAGUUCAAAAACACCUACAGGUUGCGAGCCUGCUAGCGUUCCACUAGACCGUCUAGAAAAGUCUGUGGUCGUCAUAUAUACUCAGCUAGAUGGCUAAAUCAACUUAAACAUUGAGGCCUCUCAUCAUUUAUUUCAUCAUCUAUAUCAUCUACCCCUCUUUACACAUCAUAAUUAUAGGUAUAAAAUACAUAUACUGUUUAAAUCAAAUAAAACAUGUAUAUUUUGCUCAUCCAACAUAGAUAUGAAGAAUACAUAUAAUAUGCACACAUAGUGUAGAGACCCAUUUUUAUAACGAACGGUGAAUGCAGAAGUAAGAUAUCUUGAGAUUAAUCGUGCUUUUGGAAAUAUGAACAUGAAGAACAUAUUAUGAGUUCAUAAAAAAGACUAAGAACAAAGAGAGAAUAAUAUUGAUAUUCAUGAAGAACAUGGUGGGAGAGAAACUCUCCUUGGAUGGGAGAACCCACCACUUUUUCUCUCUCUAGAUUACAUUGUGAGAAGUAAAGUAAUCUCUAUCUAAGAAAAAAGUGAGCUAGCUUUUUGGAAUAAAUGGCCAUAAAUACAAUAAAGGGAAAAUACAACCUAAUAAACACUCAUUAUUUGUGGAGCAUUUACACGCACCAACAUUCUCUCCCUAAAUGCUUACAAAUGAUGAGAGAUACAAUAAGUGAUACAAGGCGAUAAUACAGUAAUCCGACUAGCAAGUGUGGUAAUAAAAUGAAAUCAAGUGCUGGAAUGUCUUUGAAACUCAGAAGUGUCUGUGAAGUCUGAAACUGGCCAUGAAUCUCUGAAAUGAAGGUCUUCGGCUUCAAAGCACAACCAAUGAAGCAGAAAAAAUAAGAUCCAAAACUUCAAACCAAUCAUAAUCACCCAAAGAAGGAGGUCACCAUGAUCAAGUAGAAUAUCCAAUAAAAGAAACACUUCGGCUUCAAAAAGUCUGAAAAACAUCCCGAGUUCUCAAAUCAUAAUACACCGAAAUUCUUCAAAGAAUAACUUGCUAACAAUGUGAAGCAUCCAUAAAAUGUAGUCCGGAUAAAGAUAAUAUGAGUCCAAAAACAUGGUCCAACAAUGCCAAAAUUUUGAUCCAAGGACCAAAAAAUAAGUGCCACAUCACAUUGCCAAAAUAAUCUUCGUCUUCAACAUAUCACAAAUCCAAACUCGUGAAACCAUAAGAUCUGAACCAGAUGCGAACACAAAAUCAUCCUGUGGUAGAGUCCGAAUAAUAAAUAAUCUGAAUCGAAAAACAUCGAGUAAUGCAAAAAAUUCGAUUCGUGAAGACCAAAAAUAAGUGUCACAUCGCAUAACUAAAUAAAUAAUCGUCUUCAGAAGUCUUCAAAAAUCCAAACUCAAACAAUAAUAACCAAAUCCGAAUGAUAUUCUCUCCCUAUUUUUGAUAACCAAUGACCGGAUAUCAAAAAUCAACAAAUCAUCGGAUGGAGAGUGUCGGAUACCAAGAGCUAAGAGAAGCUCUCCCUAGAUGUAUGAAGGGUCUCGAUAAGAAACGAGAAAGAGUAAAAUAAAUACUCUUGCGGUCAUGAGAAGGAGGGUGACAUAGUUGCUGAAGCUGUGUUGAGAAUAAUCUAUUGUGCCAAAAAUAUAUCCAAAUAUCCAAACUGCGGUGCCGAAACACUUGAAGUGGCUUCAAAGAAAAUAAAUUCCACUUGCUUAAAAUAAGCAACCAAGUCAUAAAAAUUCCAUAAUGUGAAGAAUGCGAAACAACUUUGUUGAUCAAUCGUCGUUGCGGUGUAAGCAUCACAAAAAAGAUAAUAUGAAGUCCGACUGCGGUAAGAGUAUUCUUCCAAUAAUAAACACCGGCAUGGAGUAAACCAAUGUGACAAUCCAAGGUUCGGUUGUGGCAAAAAUUAGUGUUAAAAAAAUUGGUUUUAAUAAAAAAAAUUGGUUAUAAUAAAAAAUGGCUAAAUAAAAAAAUGGUGUUAAAAAAAAUAAGUGGCUAAGUAAAAAAAAUUGGUUGAAAAAAAAAAGAAAAGAAAAAAAUAAUAAUUAAUUAAAAAAUAAUGCAGAAAAAGGAAAAAAAAUAUGAAUUAAAAAAAUAAAGUCCUAAAAAAGAGGGUUUUUAGAAAAAAAAAAGGAAGGGGAAAAGGAAGGGAGGGGAAGGCAAAAGAAGGAGGGAAGGAGGGGGAGGAGGAGGAAGGAGGGGCUGAAGAAAGAAGAGAGGAGGGGGAGGUCUGGGCGAAGAAGGAGGAGGGGAGGGAGGAAAUCCGAAGGCAGGAGGGUUGCGGUUCUAGGGAAGUUGCUGAUGAGAAAGGGUGGCGUGUCAGGGGAGAUGGCUUCGGAUGGAGUGGGUGCGGUGAGGGUCUUGGGUGCGAACGAGUUGGUUGCGGAUGGAGGCUAGGCUGCAGUAUGCGAAGAAGGCGUGACUGCGGUAGGCGAGGAGGCAAGCUGCUACGGUGCGAGACUGCAGUGGAGCGCCUGCGGUCCGAACCAAUAUAGAAGACUGUGGUGCGAGUACCUCGGUCCGAGGCUGCGGUCCAAGCUAUCAGAGAUCCGAAGUUGCGGUUCAGUAUAAGAGGGAAGGUUGCAGUCUCUUGGGCUGCUGACCGAGGCUGCGGAUGAGACCUGAGAGGACCUCGGAUCAAGGCUAAGAAGGGGUUGCGGGUAGGCUUCUAAGUGGACUCCGGUAGGCAGUUUUUGGCUGCGGUCCGGGGGGCUGAGAGGGGCUGAACAGAUGACGAAAAAUGCUAUUUUUUUCAUGAAAAAUUGUACCGCAAAGGCCAUUUAUUCAUAUUUUAAUGAGAGAAUCUUUUUAUAAAGCAUUCUAAGUCAAAAGUGGGUAUUGGGAAGGCAAAAAAAGAGUGUGCAGGUGGUUUUUUUGGGGACAAAAGGUGAUGGGAUUGGACUAUGUCACAUGGUUUUUGCUUGGGAAGGCAAAUAUGAGUGAAUUGCUCUUUACUCAAAAAAGUAACAAGAACAAGGUGCUUUAUACAAAAACAUAUUACGUCCAUAUUUCUUCAAAUUAAGAUUCACAGCAAGAAUAAAGAGGAAUAAAAGCUUCAUACCUCAAGAAGAUUUUCAAGCUACUGGGUAAAAAAAGAGCACCACUUCAAAGAAAAUAAGCUCAUUAAAUUUGUGUCGUCUCAUCCAAGAAUAAAAGAACUCCUGGAGAAAAUUCUUCAACAAUUUGGAGAAUACAAAAUUAAUUUCUUCUCCCAUUUUUACACUUCUUCAACAACAAAAAUAGUAAGAACUUUAAGAACAUCUUUUUCCAGCAGAAAAUAGAACGAGUAGCAACAGCAACAUUUUAUUUUUACUAAGAUAGAAUCACCCCAGAAAAAUAGAGCUAAGAAAGAACUUCAUAAAAAAAAUUCCGGUUUGAAACCCGAAAAUUUUUUCUUGCAGAAACAAGGAAAAAUCACAAGAUAAUCACCGAACGGGAGUCGUUCCCUUAAACUAAUUGUGAGAUCUUCAAGGUACGGCUCUGAUACCAAUUGUAGAGACCCAUUUUUAUAGUGAACGGUGAAUGUGGAAGUAAGAUAUCUCGAGAUUAAUCGUGUUUUUGGAAGUAUGAACAGGAAGAACAUAUUAUGAGUUCAUAAAAAAGACUAAGAACAAAGAGAGAAUAAUAUUGAUAUUCGUGAAGAACAUGGUGGGAGAGAAACUCUCCCUGGAUGGGAGAACCCACCAAUUUUUCUCUCUCUAGAUUACAUUAUGAGAAGUAAAGUAAUCUCUAUCUAAGAAAAAAGUGAGCUAGCUUUUUGGAAUAAAUGACCAACUCUCCCUUUAUAUAGGAGGGAGAGUAUUUACACCAUAAAUACAGCAAAGGGAAAAUACAACCUAACAAACACUCAUUAUUUGUGGAGCAUUUACAUGAACCAACACAUAACACAUAAUUUAUAUUAAAUACUUCAUAUCUAUGUGUAAGAUGAAAGUAACUAUGCAUUCACUUGUUAAAAUGAUGACUCAAAAUUCGGGCAGUGCUUCGCUUCCAACAAUUUUCUUUUCCUCCGUGGAAACCUAGUAUUAUCACUACUAGAUUUUAGACUAAUAUUUAUUGCGACUAAUUAUUAGUUUGAUUUAUCAUUAACUCAAAAUAUACUUUCAUGAUCUAUCAAGUAAGGAACAACCAGGUAGGAUCAUAUCAGAGGUAGGGUCCGUUUGGUAUAUAUAGUAUAGUGUUUGGAAAGCCCACAUUAAACACUUCACUAAAUCACAACCUAGACAUCAUCCAUGUAAGUAGACCAGUCAGUAUAACGGCUUUGAAUCACUAAUAAAUCUUGUUUAUAAGUUCAUAAUAAUGAUAAUGAACUUAAACAUAAGUUAUACUUAAAGUAGGGUAAGCAUAACUCACUUACAAGGGGGUUUAGCAAGGAACCGGGCUCUACGUAGGCAGAACUGCUAAGCCGAAAGCUCUUCUUCUCGGGGCCUUCUGGCGCUCCGGGACACACCUCUAACACUUAGGAAGUGCUAGGUAAUAGAAGAGAGGGUUUGUGGGUAUUGGGAGAGAGUGGGAUAAGAAUGGUGUGAAGAAAUGAGGAAGAAAUGGGUUCUAUUUAUAGGUUGGCAGAGGGUCGAAUAUGGGGGGUAUAUGAUUGGUAUGUUGGGCGUAUUGCAGUACGCUGGGCAUACUAUGUGUUAUGUUGGGAGUACACAGACACGUGUUAGCAUCGUAUGCGAAGCCCUGGGGAAGAAGGUGGGGAUGAGAUCUCGCCACAUGUCAGCUUCGGAACUUAACCCAUAAAUUGAUUAUCUUCUAAAUUGUGUAACUUUUGCAUAAAAGCUCAGUUUUUGACACACUUUAUAUCCACUUGUAGGCAGUGACGUGAUUUACAACUUUCGUUUAGACUAUGUUGGCUAAUUUUGACUUUAUUUUAAAAGGUAUACUUUAACAGGCUUAGACAGUUAAAGUCCAUUAAAAAUUCAUAACUUUACCAUCCGACGUACAAUUUCGACUGUCUUUAUAUCGUUUAGCCCCGAUUAACGAGAUCUUCAAUUCUCGUAUAGGUUGUGUCAGCUAAAAAUCGAUCAAUCUAAAAUUCAAUUUCCGGGUAGCAUAUUGCUAUGUCAAAUCUUAGAAAAAUCACAACUUCUUCUAACAAAGUUAGAUUUGGACGUUCUCUAGAUGCACGCUCUUGGUUUGACGUAUACUAUGAAUUUCGUUUACAUCGCUAAGACUAAAAAGUAUUUUAUCGCAAACUCACUUUUUAUGAUACACCGUGUCGUGUCGGUUUUGGUCGCAAAACUUCGACGAGUCAUAACUUCUUCGUUAUAAAUCAGAUUUUAGCAUUUUUUAUAUCUCCGGAAUCUUUGUCACGACCACUUCAACUUUUUCAUAGAUAUUUGGUCUAUCUCUUAUUUUAUUUUUGACGCGUAUUUUUAUUAUUAUUUUAUUACAUCGUUAUAAGCACAUAUGUAGCACAUAAAUCACAAAUUACUCAAAAAAAAUUCUUCUUCAUUACUUCAUAAUAGGUUACAAUUGUCGAACCUAACUAUUACGUCAUAAUAUUAAUGCUCUGCCAGAAAUGCAGGCGUUACAACUCUUUCCUCCUUAGGAUGAUUCCGUCCUGGAAUCAUGCAUCAACAAACAGAUGUGAAUAGCGACUCAUCAUGUCACUCUCUGUUUCCCAGGUGAGGUUUGGCCCAUUUGUAUGUUUCCAUCGGACAAGCACUAAUUCGACCAUCUUACGUCGGAACUUCUUUGUCUUACGGUCAACAAUUACUUCAGGCUCUUCGAUUAACCUUUUAUUUCAUCCAUCCUUAACUCCGAAAGUGGAAUUAUAUUGGGAAAUUCUCUUGUGAACUUCCUCAAAUAACACACAUGGAAAGUAUUAUAAAUACCAUCUAGUUCUUCUGGCAAUUCCAGCUUGUAAGAUCCCAAUCCUCUGAAGAACCUUGAAUGGCCCAAUAAAUCUUGGACUCAGCUUUCCUCUCUUUCCAAAUCAUAUAAGUCCCUUCCACGGUGAGACUUUGAGCAAUACCGAAUCUCCAACUUUGAAUGUCAUUGUUCGUCGCUUUUUGUCGACAUAGCUCUUUUGGUGAUCCUGAGCUGCUAACAUCCUUUCUUUAAUCAAUUUUAGCUUUUCAGCAGUUUGAUGGACUAUUUCGGGGCCCAUAAACUGCUUUUCUCCGACCUCAAGCCAACAAGACGGUGUAUGACACUUCUAUCCGUACAAUGCUUAAUAAGGUGUCAUCUUAAUGCUUGAAUGGUAAUUAUUGUUGUAGGAAAACUCUACCAUGGGUAAAUGCUCAUCCCAGUUACCUUGAAAUUCUAGGGUACAUGCUCUUAAGAUAUCUUCCAGUGUUUGAAUUGUUCUUUCGCUAUGACCAUCAGUCUACGGAUGGUAGGUUAUACUUAAACACAACUUUGUACCCAUUUCCUCUUGUAUACUUUUCCAAAAUCUUGAUGUGAAAAGACUAUCACGAUCUGAUACAAUCGUUAAUGGGACACCGUGAAGUCUUACUAUCUCCUUCACGUAAGCAUCUGCAAGCUUAUCCAUAGACCACCUCUCAUUGGCUGCUAUGAAGUGUGCACUCCUUGUGAAACGAUCCACGACUAUCCAAAUCAUGUUAUGACCAUUCUUCGUCUUGGGUAGUUUAGUCACAAAAUCAAUGGUGAUGUCUUCCCAUUUACCCAUGGGUACAAGUAAAGGUUCUAAACUCCCAUACUGUUUCUGAUGUUGUGCUUUAAAUCUCGCACAUGUUACACACUCUGCCACAUACUUUGCAACAUCAAGCUUCAUCUUCGGCUACCAGUAGUAAGGUUUCAGAUCCCUAUACAUCUUAGUGCUGUCGGGAAUCCUAUCUUGGAAUACCUUCAAUCUUUGAGUAAUUAUACUGAAUACCAACAUUUUGCCUAAACAUUCUUCUUUUCGGUCAUUUUUCUCCAAAGCUUCUUCCUAAGCUUUUUUAAUGCUUUCCACAUUUGUUGAGACAACUUCUAUUCUUAACGCUCUUGGCCUUUUUCUUUCUAGGUAUACUUUUCGACUUAGAGCAUCAUCUACGAAAUUUUCUUUACCGGGGUGGUAAAGUAUCUUGCAGUUGUAAUCCUUGAGUAACUCUAGCCAGCGCCGUUGUCUAAUAUUCAAUUCCUUUUGAUCCAAGAGAUACUGGAGACUUUUAUGAUUAAUGAAGAGUUUGCACUUUGUUUCUCGUAAUCUUCGACUCCUUCACGUAAAGAAAGACUCGGUGCUUCACACAACUUCUUCUUUAGUUUCUCGAAUGUUUCUUCAUGUUUCUCACUCCAUGUAUAUGUAGCUCCCUUAUGGCUCAAAGCUGUCAAUGGAGCAACUAUCGAAGAAAAGCCUUGGAUAAACCUUCGGUAAUAUCCAGCUAAUCCCAAAAAGCUUUGAAUCUCAAUGGGACUUUUUGUUCGUUCCCAUUUCAUCACAACUUGAAUCUUUGUUGGGUCAACCAUUAUUCAUUCAUGGUUAACCACAUGACCCAAGAAUUGGACUUCUCAAAUAAAAAAAAUCACAUUUGGAGAACUUUGCAUACAACUUCUCAUUCUUCAAAAUUUCUAAUAUUUCUCGUAGGUGCUUGCCAUGCUCCUGGUGGCUCUUUGAGUAAAUCAGAAUGUCGUCUAUGAACACUAUUACUGAUUUAUCGAGGAAUGGUUUACAAACCAUGUUCAUCAAAUCCAUAAAUGACUCUUUUCCGGGUGGGUUUACUCUCACCGUCUUCUUCAUGUAUAGUAUUCUGGUAUCGUGUGCACUAAGCCAAUCCAUUCCUAGUACGAUGUCAAAACCAUUCAACUCAAUGGGUAAUAGCUCCUCGUGGAAUUCAUUUUUGUUUAAUUUAAUGAUGACGUUUUUAAUGCAAUCUCUAAUAGGUAUGAAUUUUCCACUGACAAAUUCUACAACUAGAGCACUAUCAAGUUUAUCUACAGGCAAUGCUAGUUUUCCACCAAAUUUAUGCGAUAUAAAGGAGUAAUUAGCUCCAGAAUCAAACAAUAUAUUGAUGGGCAAUCCAUUUACAAGAAAGGUACCUGAAGCGACAUAUGCUGCAUCCUUUGUUGCUUCCAGGGUCAUCUGGAAUGCUCUUGCCUUUGGCCUCGGUGAAACAUUAGGCCUUGCAGCAUCAUUCUUCUUCAGGCAGUCCUUAGAAAUGUGCCGUUCUUCGUUACAUUCAUAACACACCCUCUUGCUGGAUGUAUACUCAUUGGCGUAAUGCCUAAUUUUUCCACACUUGAAACAAGUCACCUCCUCGCCACAUUUCCCAAAGUGCUUCUUUUUGCACUUCUCACACCAUUUUGCUUCUCCUCCUCCUCAAAACUUCUUAGAACCAGACUUCGAGAAUUUGCUUUUCUUGUUGGACCUUGAAGACCCUUCAAAUUUCUCCUUCUCGCCAACUUCAACCUUGUUGGCGGCUCUACCCUUGAUCAUCUCUUCGACAGACUUAGCAGCCUGUAUGGUCGCCUCAAGAGUAGGUGCUUGGCGUACUGGCAUAGUGUACUUCCAGGGUAGUCCCUUCGCAUACUUAUCGAUUUUUGUUAGCUCGUCAGGGACGAUGCACAAAGCAAACUACAUCCGUUCCUUUCAAUCUCUUCAUCCUGGUUAAUUUUUCUAGCCACUCAGGGUUCAAUUCGACUUACAGUACGACUGUAAUUUCCCUCCUCUGACUGCUCAAUAUUCAGUUCAGGCUGCUCAACAGGCAUAGAAGGUUCAUCCCUAUUAUGUUGAAAUAGAUGCCUUGUUUCUUCCAUCUGACAAUCCAACAUCAUUUGGAUCAUUGCUUGUACCCCUGCCAUCGUGAUUGGCUCGGGUGCAACUGCUACUUCCGGUGCACGCUCAAUCACUUGUGGCUAAGGCUACUGAUUUCCAUUAUCAUUUCCAUUAGAAUUUCCAGAUCUGUUUCGGGUUCUUGCCAUGUUGAUCUAUACACCAAAGUAGGCGAAUUUAGAUCUUUAUUUUCGAUAGACGUUUAAAUCCUCCUUGUUACUCACAUACGUUACAUGCCAGUUCUAAUAUCAUAGUCGAACGUUUAGAAAUCUGAACACAUAUAGUUUCCAGACCCGGUCGGCAACAGACCAUAGAUCUGAUCAAGUAAAUACACAUAAUGCAUAACAUAAAUCAUUUAGCACAUAAAAGCAAUUUAGGCAUUGUUCCUAAAAUAAGCUAGUGCUCGUGUCUAUAUAUUUUUUAAAUAUAACAGACACUCAUCUCACAAUCAUCUCUUAGCAUUCUAAGUUUAAGUAUGGAAAUCCUACAAACUCCUAGUUCGCUUAAACUAAUGCUUUGAUACCAACUGUGACAUCCCCAAUUUCACGGUCAGAAAAGACUGCUUUGUUUAUGCUUUAUUUAAAAUCAGAGUAUUCUUUUAAAGAAUAAUAUUGCGGAAUUUGUUUCCAAAAUAUGAUAAAAGUAUUAUCAAAGCAUUUCUGAAGAAAUGUGUUUUAAUUUUAUUAAAAACAUUGGGAUGUCAUUGUCAAUACAAUACAUAAGCAUAAAAAAAAUAGUACGGGCCUUACGACAUCUAUCAUUCUAAUGGCCUAUAAUCCAUUGAUCUCUCAUCAUAUCAUCACUCUUAUACUUUAUUGUCACUACCUGUAAUACAAGAAAUUGAGUGGGUCGGACUUGGAAGCCUGGUGAGCACAUAGGGUUUUUAACCCACAAUAAAUAAGUUCAUUAAUUUCAUCAAAUCAUUCAACCCGAUUACCCGUUCCCGUUAUCCUCGAUUUCUAUCCCUAAAUCAUAUAAUUUAAGGGACCUAACCUAAGUAUUAUUAUUAGGAUGGACAAAACUACUUAGGGGAUUCCUCAGCAAUGUAUGUCAAUCAGGCAACCAUGAGGGGGAUGGAGUACACCUAAUGAACAUGUAGUUCAAAAACACCUACAUGUUGUGAGUCUGCUAGCAUUCCACUAGACCAUCUAGAAUAGUCCGUGGUCGUCAUCUAUACUCUGCUAGAUGAAUAUAUUAGCUUAAACAUCGAGACCUCUCAUCAUUUAUUUCAUCAUCUAUAUCAUCUACCCCUCUUUACCCAUCAUAAUUAUAGGUAUAAAAUACAUAUACAAUUUAAAUCAAAUAAAACAUGUAUAUUUUGUUCAUCCAACAUAGAUAUAAAGAACAUAGAUAAUAUGCACACAUAACACGUAAUUAAAUUAAAUACUUCAUAUCUAUGUGUAAGAUGAAAUUAACUAUGCACUCACUUGUUAAAGUGAUGACUCGAAAUUCGAGCAGCGCUUCGCUUCCAACAAUUUUCUUUUACUCCGACGAAACCUAGUAUUAUCAUUACUAGAUUUUAGUCUAAUACUUAUUGAAACUAAUUAUUAGUCUAGAUUUAUCAUUAACUCAAAGUCUACUUACAUGAUCUAUCAAGUAAGGAACAACCAAGUAGGAUCAUAUCAGAGGUAGGGUCUGUUUGGUAUACGUAGUAUAAUGUUUGGAAAGUCCACUUUAAACACCUCACUAAAUCACAGCCUAGACAUCAUCCCCGUAAGUAGAUCAAUCAAUAUAAUGGCUUUUAAUCACUGAUAAAUCUUAUUUAUAGGUUCAUAAUAACGAUAAUGAAAUUAACCAUAAGUUAUACUUAAAUUAGGGUAAGCAUAACUCACUUACAAGGGGGUUUAACGAGGAACCGGGCUUUGCGUGGGCAGAACUGCUGAGCCGAAAGCUCUUCUUCUCGGGGCCUUUUGGCCCUUUGGGACUCGCCUCUAACAUUUAGGAAUUGCUAGGGAAUGGAAGAUAGGGUUUAGGGGUAUUGGGAGAGAGUGGGAUAAGAAUGGUGUGAAGAAAUGAGGAAGAAAUGGGUUCUAUUUAUAGGCUGGCGGAGGGUCGAACGCGGGGCAUGGAGGAUUGGUACGUUGGCGUACUGUGUGUUACGUUGUGCAUACAUGGACAUGUGUCAACAUCGUAUGUGAAUCCGUGGGGAAGAAGGUGGGGCUGAGAUCUCGCCACGUGUCAGCUUCGGAACUUAACCCAUAAAUUAACUAUUAACUUCCGCAUACAAGCUCCAUUUUUGAUGUUCUUUAUAUCCACACGUAGGUAGCGACGUGAUCUAAAACUAUUUUUAGACUCCGUCGGCUAAUUUUGACUUUAUUUUUAAAGUUAUAUUUUAAAAGACUUAGAUAGUUAAAGUUCGUUAAAAAUUCAUAACUUUGUCAUCCGUCGUUCGAUUUUGAAUGUCUCUAUAUCGUUGAGCCCCUAUUAACGAGAUCUUCAAUUCCCGUUUAGGUUGUGUCGGCUAAAAAUCGAUUGAUCUAAAAUUUGAUUUUCGGGCUGCAUACUGCUAUGCUAAAUCUGUUGGGUCAAAAAUAUGGUUUAUACUUUACUUUUCUAGGAAAUUGGGGUUUCAGUUAUGUACUAUGUAUUUGCGGUUGUGUUUAUGACCCAGGUGAGUGUUUAGGGCCGUGAAUAGGUUCAUGGCCAUGAACCUGUUCACGGACCAUGUUAAUAUAAAUAUAGUGUCAGUGGUGAGGAGUGUAAGAGAGGACGUGCGGAUAUAGUGGUACACGGCUAGAGGAGCUUAAGUGUGUAAACUCAAGGUGUGUUUUAGAGAGAGAAAGUGAAUCUUGUGUAAGGAACUUCAUUCUAAUCAAAUCAUUCAAGAUUCAUCUUAUUCUUCUUCUCCUUCUCCUCUAUUUUGAUCUUGCAUCAUCCAAAUGAUUGGGAUUCCGCACCAUCAAUUGGAUCUGAUUGAUACGUAUUAGAAAAAUCAUAACUUCUUCUAAUGAAGUUAGAUUUAGACGUUCUCUAUAUGCAUGCUAUCGGUUUGACGUAUACUGUGACUUUCAUUUUGAUCACUAUGGCUAAAAAGUAUUUUAUCGCAAACUCACUUAUUAUGAUACAUCGCAUCGUGUCGGUUUUGGUCGCAAAACUUCGACGGGUCAUAACUUUUUCGUUAUAAGUCGGAUUUCAGCGUUCUUUAUAUCUUCGGAAUUGUUGCCAUGACCACUUCAACUUUCUUCAUAGAUGUUGUGGUUCCUCCUAACCAUUGGUCGUUCAGUUUGAUAUAUAGUCCUAAUAUAGCUUCCCUCUUUGGACUGACCUUCAUUCAAUACCGGUUCAACAAUCAGUGCAAUGACUUCUCUCCUAUUCCCUUGGAUCAGUCGUAUAGUCUCCUCCAUCUGCUCAGCUAGCAUUGCCCGAAUCAUGGCUUCAACUCAUGUAUACUAAAUCAGGCACUUAGUGUAUCGUGACACGAUUAUAUUAUGAUAGGGAAGGUCUUAGUUAUGUUUAGAAGCAUAAUCCACCUUAUCACUCCGAAAAGUUAUAUGUCAAUUCUAAUACAUUAAUUAUACAUUUUGAAUCUUGAACACAUAAAGUUUCCAAAUCAAGGUUGACAAUAAACCUUAGGUCUAGUCAAGUAAUAGCAAUAUAGGUAGGCAAACUAAGGCAUGCUAUAAUAUAAAUCAUUUAACACAUAACAACAAAUUAGGCAUCUUAUCCUAAAGUAAGCUAGUAUUUGUGUCAAUUCAGGUAUACUAUUUAAAAUAUAAUAGACACACAUCUCACAAUUAAGUCUAGAAAUCCUCAAAAUUGUUAGUUCACUUAAACUAAUGCUUUGAUACCAACUGUGACAUCCCCAUUUUUCGACCCGAAAAGACCUUUUCUUUAUGCUUAUUUUAACAGAGUAUUCUUUACAAAUACGAAAUUUGUCCCAUAAUAAAUAUAUGAGAUAAAAGAAUUUCCAAAGAAACAUUUUUCAUUAAUUAUUAAAAGCUUGGGAUGUCAUAAAUGAUACAAGAAACAUAAGAAUAAACAUAGUCAUUACAUGCCAUACAACAUCUUUUUAUACUAAUGGCAUAUAUUUACUUGAAUCUCUCAUCAGAUCCUAACAUCACUAUCCAUGUAUCUUUAUACCGCUACCAGUGAUACAAAGAAACUGAUUGGGUCAGGUUGGAAAGUCUGAUGAGUACUUAGGGUUUUCAACCCACAAUAAUAUAAUUAGUUUGUUUAAUUAUAUAUAUAUAUAUAUUUCACAUCAAACAAUUAACUCGAUUAUCCAUCCCUAUUUUCUUUAUAUAUAUNNNNNNNNNNNNNNNNNNNNNNNNNUAAGGAUCAUCACAAACGUCUAGUAGACAGUAAUGCUUCGGGGAUUCCUCCGCGAUACAUGUCAGUAAGGAAUAGAGUACAUCGCAUGAACAUGUAGCUCAUCACCUACAUGUUGCGAACCUUCCCACUAGACUGUCUUGAAUAGUUCGUGGUUGUCAUCUAUACUCUAUUAGAUGAAUACAUCACACAUCGGUAGUAAAGUCAUGGCCUUUCCUCAUUAUUUUUCAUCUCUCAUCAUCCAUCGCUACCUAAUAUAGUAUCCAUAUGAAAAUACAUAUACUGUUAUAUAAAAAUCAUCUAAUAUUAAAUCAUCACAAAAUAUAUUAAUGACAAAUAGUAAGCACAUAUAAAAUUUAAUUAUCUAAAUACUUCAGAUCUAUGUGUAAUAUGAAAAUAACCAUGUACUCACUUGUUAAAGUGGAUGACUUGUGAUUUGGGCAGCGCUUCGCCUAAUACCUUAGCUUUUCCUUUUAAAAGACAGAGGUGUGUGUGUGUGUGUGUAUAUAUAUAUAUAUAUAUCACUAAACCUUAGUAUUUGUUUCAUAAUUAUUAUGACUAUAAUGAAGAUAAUCUAGAUUCCACAAUAAUCCCAAUUAAUAUUGAUCUGUAGCUGAUAAGGAGCAACCAUGUAAGAUCAUAUCGGAGGUAGGGUCCGUUUGGUAUACAGAGUAUACUGUUUGAAAAUCCCACUUUAAACACCUCAAUAAAUCUAGCCUAGACAUGCCACGUGUUACAUUCUGCCUUGUCCAUGCCGCCCCUUCUAGAAGCGUGCACCACGCUUACCUAUCAUACAUGAUGUUGUCUUCGAAAAACUUCUAAAAAUCGUAUAUUGCUUGUUCGAGCUCCGUUUUUGAUGUUUUUUAUAUCCACGUGUAUCUAUCGACUAUUACUACAACUUUCAUUUUGACUCUGUAGGCUAAUUCUCACUUUAUUUUUAAUUUUUUAUUUUAAAAGGCUUAGACUGCUAAAACUUGUAUAAAAAUCAUAAUGUAUAAAAAUCAUAACUCUUUUAUGUGAACUCCAUUCUUGACUGUCAUUAUAUCGAUGGAAUUAUAUUUACGAGAUAUUAAACUCUUGUUUAGAUUGUUUUUCCUAACAAUCAACUCAUUUUAAUUUCGGUUUAUGUGUUGACGUAGCUGCGCUGAAACUUCAAAAAAUCAUAACUUCCUCAUAUGAAGUCAGAUUUGGGCGUUAUCUAUAUGCAUGGUCUCAUUUUUACGAUUACUGCGACUUUCAUUUAGAUUACGUAGGCUAAUAAGCAACCUAUAUCCAAUUCACUUUUUAUGGCACGCAUAGUAGUGUCGAUUUGAUCACGAAACUUCGAAGAAGCAUAAUUUCUUAAUACGAAGUUGAAUUUAAGCGCUCCUUAUAUCCACGAGAUUGUCAUUAUGACUACUACAUCUUUAUCUAAGAUUAUCUAAUAUAUCUUAAAUGUCUAGCCAAAAUCUGCGGGUUUUACAACAAUCAUAUUUAAUAGAUCGUUUCUUAUGUUUUUUUUGUUUUAGUUUAUCGAUUAUAGUGUAAUAACAUAAUGUUUUCACUAUAUUAGAUGUAGCCUAAGGAUUUGGUUUGAUUUAAUUGUACAAAUAUUGUUUUUGUUUAAUAUAUUAUGAUUGUUUUAUAAAAAAUCCCUACAUGUUGAAGUUUUGGUUUUUAUUACUUAUUGCUAAAGUUAGUAGAACUUUAGACUAUCAAUCGAGUUUGAUUAUCUUGUUUCAUAGUCGUUUUAUGACCAUUAAAUUAUUAUGAAUAGUGUUUGACGUUACCUAUGUUUAGAUGAUAAAAUCAUAAACUUUAAUGUGUAAGCGAAGCGCUUUAGUUACUAACUUAUGCUUAUUAUUAACUUUAAUAACUAUUGAAGUUAAUUCCUGGAUCAAAUAUCUGAUAAUAUGAAUUUAAUUAUAAUUGUUUAGAUAUUUGUCUUAAUUGUAUAAUUUAUUUUUCUGACCAAGAUAACUAAUACUUUAGAAAUCGGAAAAUAACUAAAUAUUCAUUUCACUAAAUUUGAAUCCACCAUACUUAAAAGAGAAAAUCGAAAUCUAUGUGAAAACAUUUUUAUCUCUUUUGUCUUUAAAUCCAUUCUUUAUUUUUGUUAGUUUAGUUGAAUUGAAUCAAACCCUCCUUUUUCUUUUAUUGUGUAUAGUUUAAUUAACAUUUGAAUAUAUCUAAACUAAAUUCUCAUUAUCACUGUGCUCGACACCUGAGCUUACCAAAAUUAUAUUGUUACUGUGUAACACGAUCAUGUCGACUGCCUGUAACGUGUAUUAGUUUAGCCACAAUAAANNNNNNNNNNNNNNNNNNNNNNNNNNNNNNNNNNNNNNNNNNNNNNNNNNNNNNNNNNNNNNNNNNNNNNNNNNNNNNNNNNNNNNNNNNNNNNNNNNNNNNNNNNNNNNNNNNNNNNNNNNNNNNNNNNNNNNNNNNCACACACACAUCAAGUUUUUGGGAGUCGUUUUCAGAGAAUUGUUUUAAAGUAUUUAAAGUUUAUAAACUAAAUUAAACACAUCAAUGUACUAUUUUUUGAUGGGCUAAGGGAAAUCAAGUUAUUAAUCAAAUAAGCGUUUCACAAAAACUUAUUUACCUAAUAUGUAUACUUUUAAACGUAUUUACCAAAAUAAAUUAUUUAUCAAUUUAAUAGAAAGUUAAGGAAAAAAAUGUCUACUCAUUUCCUAUUCUUUUCUCCACAGGUCUAUUAACUUUUUUUUUUUCCUUUUAGAUUCAUUAUAGGUACUAUUUAUUUUUAUUUUUUAAAUUUAAUUAUUUUGAUUUUUUUUGAAUUUUUGCUAUAAAAUCUAUCAAAAGUUUUUACAAACACCAUUAUAAUUAAUAAUCUUUUGAAUCUAAACCAAUAAAGGCUUCUUACAAAAACCAACAAACAAUUUUUUGAAUCUAAACCAACAAAUAUCAUCUUAAAUUAAAAAAAAAAUCAUAGGUUCAAUAUUUUAAGUACAAAACAAAAAAUCGUUUCUUUCAAAAUACAAAAGAAAAUAAGAACAUUUGGAAUAACUAGAUUCCAUUACCAAUAUCUCCAAAAAAUGAUAAAAAAAAAAUAAGAUAUAAAACCAGACCAAUAAACCCAAAAAAAUAUAUUGAAUAUNNNNNNNNNNNNNNNNNNNNNNNNNNNNNNNNNNNNNNNNNNNNNNNNNNNNNNNNNNNNNNNNNNNNNNNNNNNNNNNNNNNNNNNNNNNNNNNNNNNNNNNNNNNNNNNNNNNNNNNNNNNNNNNNNNNNNNNNNNNNNNNNNNNNNNNNNNNNNNNNNNNNNNNNNNNNNNNNNNNNNNNNNNNNNNNNNNNNNNNNNNNNNNNNNNNNNNNNNNNNNNNNNNNNNNNNNNNNNNNNNNNNNNNNNNNNNNNNNNNNNNNNNNNNNNNNNNNNNNNNNNNNNNNNNNNNNNNNNNNNNNNNNNNNNNNNNNNNNNNNNNNNNNNNNNNNNNNNNNNNNNNNNNNNNNNNNNNNNNNNNNNNNNNNNNNNNNNNNNNNNNNNNNNNNNNNNNNNNNNNNNNNNNNNNNNNNNNNNNNNNNNNNNNNNNNNNNNNNNNNNNNNNNNNNNNNNNNNNNNNNNNNNNNNNAUAUAUAUAUAUAUUCUGAUUAUGAUCAUUUUGCUUACAAAUUUAAAAAAUGUUCACUUUUCUUCCUUCUUUAAUAUCCAUUCCAUUCCAUUGAAGAUAUAUUAUUCUUUUGAGUUCAUUUGCAUGAUUUUAUAUCUUAUUAAUUUAUUUAUUUUGCAGAUAGUGGUUAUCGAAUAUUUUGAAUGUUUUUUAUUUUUUUUUGUAUUUUUUUAAAAACGAUUAUCGGUUUUGUACUUAAAAUGCUAACAUAAAAUUAAAAUGCUAACAUAAAGACGGUGUCCCAAAUUCCCGCUCCUAGCUGCUUAGAACCGAUUUUUAAAACAAAACAUUAUGGUUUUGUAUACUACUAAAAAUUGAGGUAAUAAAUAUUUUAAUAUAAUGAUCCCUUAUUGGCUUAUUCUUUGAUAUUUGGAUCUAUUGGGCCCAAUUACUAAAAAAAACCGGUCUCACAGUGGCUAAAAAAACUCACCAAAGUGCCCGGUCCACUGUUAUUUUCUUUGUGAAAGAUGACCAGGUGAUGUUCAGUUUGGACUUUGGUCGCUUGAAAUAAAAAUUGAGAUAAUAAAUAUUUUAAUAUAAUGAUCCCUUAUUGGCUUAUUCUUUGAUAUUUGGAUCUAUUGGGCCCAAUUACUAAAAAAAAACCGGUCUCACAGUGGCUAAAAAAACUCACCAAACCGCCCGGUCCACUGUUAUUUUCUUUGUGAAAGAUGACCAGGUGAUGUUCAAUUUGGACUUUGGUCGCUUGACAUAAAAAUUGAGAUAAUAAAUAUUUUAAUAUAAUGAUCCCUUAUACGAUAUUUGGAUCUAUUGGCCCAAUUACUAAAAAAACCGGGUCACACAGUGGCUGAAAAAACUCACCAAACCGCCCGGUCCACUGUUAGCUUCUUUGUGAAAGAUGACAGUUUGGACUUUGGUCGCUUGAAAGUUCCAGUGUAGAAGUUAGGGCACGCUUUCUCCCUCUGCAUUGUCGGUCUAAGUUGUUUUUUUGAUCAAAAUCAUAUUACAAUUUCAUACCUGCAAGCUGCCCCAUCAUCAUCAUCUCGACAAUGGCACAUCUUAUUUCAGAAUUGGGUAAAUUUGAAAUAUUCUGAUAAAAGUUUAAUAUUGUUCUUGAAGCUAUUUUGAACCAUCAGUUGUACUGUAUAUGCCUUAUGUUCGUGUGAUUGUUGUGGAUGGGCAGAGAGAGUGCGCCUCGGAUAAUCUUUCACAACAUUGUUCAUAGGCCUCGCCACAGUAUAAUCGGUAUACUAACUCCUAAUUUACAAGUUUGUCUGUCUGAGGAAGACAAAUGCUGUUCUUUUCCUGUUGAACUUAUGUGGACUUUUUGGAAAUAUUAGAUCAUUUUUACUUUUCCCCAACUCUCUCAAGCAAUUCAAUAACCCUAGUUCAAAAUUUAAUCUGCUACUUCCAAACAAUGACUGCAGCUUCUAAUCAUGUUUAUUUUGAAGAAGAGUCUUCAAUGCCGACCCUUACUUCUCAAUCAAGCAAUUGUCAAGCCAUUUUGAAUCCAUCCAAGUAUCCUGAACCUCUUCAGAUUUUGGUGGAAUGUAUGAAAUGUUCUUUUUUAAGUAGAGCUUUGUCAACAGCUAAAGAGGUUCCAAUGAGAAUCGUUACUCUAGCAUUCACUACAGCAAUUGUCAACAAAGUGAACGAUACAGUUUCUUUUGUAAUUCAUGGUGGAAAGCGAACAACCAUUUCUAAGACAAAUUUUGCAAAACUUUUAUGUCUUCCAACUCAAGGGCCGUAUGUUACUCCAACAAGUGAAGAGCUCAUUGAUAUGUUCAAUUCUAUGGGUCAUAAACCUUAUAUGAAGAAGGUGUCUGAUUUCAAAAAGAGCAAACUUCCUGCUGUUUGGAGUCUGCUAUUUGGAUUCAUUCUUCGUGGCUUAACAAGUCGUGCUUGUGGAUUGGAUGCUGCACGCAGAGAGGUAUUGUCUCUU